rnacentral:lncRNA from 1 species
AAGAGACUAUGAAAAUCCAACUCAAGUAGAAGAGUCCACAAAUUUAAAGUUAGUCGAUCAAUCUCUGCAUCGUGACUACAUUUCUCAUAAACAAACUGGAAAUACACAAUUCAGUUAUUGGUAGUUUACUACAAAAUCAGUUGAAAUGACUAGCGACGCUACAGCAUAAUUACAACAGAGAAACUGAGGAAUAAUUCACUCCACAUCUUUUCUUCAAAUCGCUCUGCAUCUUUUCCUCAAAUUCUUCUAUAGUGAGCACAGGUUGGAGUACAUGCUGGUCUCUUUUCUUGCAUCCACAAAGGUCAAAUCAAAUGAAACAUCCAUAGCUCUCUGGACUGCUCCCUCUUAAGUCGCCACAUGACUGUUCCCUUGGAUUGAUUAAGACUAAAACCAUCACCUUGACAUAACAACAACAACAACUACCCAGUAUACUCCCACCAGGUGGGGUCUGGGGAGGGUAAUANNNNNNNNNNNNNNNNNNNNNNNNNNNNNNNNNNNNNNNNNNNNNNNNNNNNNNNNNNNNNNNNNNNNNNNNNNNNNNNNNNNNNNNNNNNNNNNNNNNNNNNNNNNNNNNNNNNNNNNNNNNNNNNNNNNNNNNNNNNNNNNNNNNNNNNNNNNNNNNNNNNNNNNNNNNNNNNNNNNNNNNNNNNNNNNNNNNNNNNNNNNNNNNNNNNNNNNNNNNNNNNNNNNNNNNNNNNNNNNNNNNNNNNNNNNNNNNNNNNNNNNNNNNNNNNNNNNNNNNNNNNNNNNNNNNNNNNNNNNNNACCCAACCCCGGGUGAGGCGAACGAAGGACUCUAAGAGCCCCUAUCCUGCAACCCUGAUUCUAGACCUCCAGACUCCCCUAUCGAGGGUCAUGUCCUCCAUCACCUUGACAUAAAAAAUAUAUAUUUUGAGUGGUUUGAGAUUUACCAAAAAGAAAUAAACAUGACAGUCUGCUAUCACAUAGAGCUACAAGGUCUUUGUGCCCCAGGACAAAUGGCAUCUUGAUGUACCAAAGAGAGAAACAAGACACUGUUUUAUAUCACAUAAAAGUGCUUGAAUUUGAGUAUCUCUUAACAAGUGGCAUACUGAUGUACUGCUAGAGCCCAGCAACACAACUGAACUUAUUGAUGACAAAAGGCAAACUUAAUUCCAUUUCCAAGCCACAAAUAAUAUGAAGAAAGCUUCUAAACUAAAACUCUCCUUUUUUUCUUAGACCAGCUUCUGCACCUCGACCAAUCUACCGGACAGCUUGUUUAACCAACAAAUACAGGUUGCGAGGAAAGUCGUGCCUACCAAGGUUGGAGCAGUUGAGCUCGCCAAGUGUUAUAAUUGAGAUUGGAACCUCGAAAACCAAAUCCUCUUCAAGCUUACGUUUCCUUUAGUAGUCAAUUGACAAUAUCAACUAUGACUAACCCUUGAAGAUGUGCCCUAACGGUCAAAUAGUUGGACAACUUGGAAACAAGGUUCAAAUUCUAGUACACCAAGUGAAUUCGUCUCUUAAGUCUUGUUAGGAAAAGUUACUUUAACACCUAUGUUGAUAGAAGGUAACAAGUACAUUAUGGAUUAGACGAGGUAAGUGCAAACUUACCUGGACACAACGGUUAUCCAGAAAAAACAUCAAGUAUGACUAACAUGCAAAAGCUAUAUGUGAAGACGAGGGAAUCUACCUUGAUCUAAACAUGUUCUCAAAUAAUUUUGUUUCUUAUUUCUUCAAGCUUUUUCAAAAUCUCGCCUGGUGUUCUGUCCAACUCAUCUGCAAUUUUGCGCUGCAUAUCCAUUGGCAAGGUUGGGAACUGUUCGCACAAGUCUCCAUCUAUCACAUCCUGCAAAACAGUUCCAAUAUAUCACCAUUAUCAUCAACAUUAGGUACUACAACAAUAACAACAACAACCCACUAUAGUCCCACAAAGUGGGGACAGGGGAGGGUAUCAACAUUAGAUAAGGAUUGAAUAAUCAAGGUGAUUUAAAUAUAUGAAAUAAAAAGAGCAUACACUCUUAAUAGUAUCAUGUAAUGUAGUUAAUAUCAGACCUGAAAUUUGUAACAGUUUCAGCUAAAGGUGCAUAAUUCAACACUCGAAAAUGCGACCUAGGCAUAUAAUCAACUUGGUAGACAUAGAAACAGCCUGUGACAACUUAGAGUUGCCUUUUAUCCAAGCAUGCAAAGCACUUCAAAAUAGUGAAAUCAAGAAAAACAUAAACAUUCACAAGGCACACUAAAUUGCUCAUUACAACAACAACAACAACAACUACCCAGUAUAGUCCAACAAAGUGGGAUCUGGGGAGGGUAAUAUGUAGUCAGGCCUUACCCCUUCCCGAAGGGCAGAGAGGUUGUUUCCAAUCGACCCUCGGCUUAGUGAAGAAAAGGAAAAGCAAAAACAAAAACAAAAGAGCAUUAGUAACUCCAGCAGAAAUAGCGUAAAUAAUUAUCUAAACAUAAGAACCAUAAAUAAAAUAGUAUGCAAUGAUGUGUAACUACCUUAUUGUCAAACGAUAUAGCCGAUCGAGGACACAACUACUUAUAAUCCAUGAUAGCACAAACCCAUUUGCUGUUCGAGAACUGCUCAAUGAUUUGAAUAUCCAGCCAUUUUAUCGGUUAAACAUUUUAAUUGGAGCCUAGGGCAGAACAGGUUAAGCUUACUACCAACCAAGUCAUGUAAAGUAGCUAAUGACAAAUUCCCAGUUUCACUUCAGCAUUAAUUUAGCUUCGCAAGGAAGUUUAUUUACACUCAUUUGCUACAUCAGCGCAUCUCUGCUACUAAUCAGGAUUUCAAACUAAAUACCACUUUCCGCAUUGGACAUUAAGGAAAUAGCUGAUUGAGCAGUACAAGCUUACCUUAACUGGGAAGUAAGCAGAUCUGUAGGCCAUGUGAUCCCUGCCACAUAAAGGUGGGAACUCCUGCCUCAAAUGCAUCUCCAAAUGAGAGAAGAAGUCAACAUCAUCCCUCGAGGUAAAUGGAAGCAUUGCCCCAACGCUCCCCAUCACAGUCCCGUAAAUUACACAUUCACCCCCUCCUGGAAUAAGUGAUGCUCUUUGCAAGCAAGAGACCACAUCACCAACAUGAAACUGCACUAUUUCCUCAACCUUGUUUGGGGCUCCAUUCAGCUUCCCCUGCUCCCAUUUUAUUUUUCCACCAGUAGGGUCUUCUUCAAUCUCAUCUGAGACAUCCUGAGGUAAUCGCACAAAGUAGAUAUUCCCAAACUUGUCAGCUCCUGCCACUGUGUCAAAAUCUACAUGCUGUGCUGCGGUUAGCCAUCUCGGAACCAUGUCAUCAGCAAAUAUGUACAGUUGGUUUUCAUCACGUCUAUACUUACAGUAGUGGAAUGACUGCAAGAAGAGAACAAUUUGAGCAGAUCAGUAGAAACCAACACUUCUUGCGGCUAGCCAUCUCGGAACCGUGUCAUCAGCAAAUAUGUACAGCUGAUUUUCAUCACGUCUAUAUUUACAGUAGUGGAAUGACUGCAAGAAGAGAACAAUUUGAGCGGAUCAGUAGAAACCAACACUUCAUAAAAUAUGACAUCAAAGAAGACUAUUUUAUAAGAAUCCGAAUAAAUAUUCCUGUCAGAAAAUAUCUAACUUAACCAUAGUCUACAUUCUAUGGAUUCAAACGGCCAAUACAUUCACACUGUAGUAAAUUAGUAUAAUCAGAAGAAAGCAUCUAGGCAAUUAUGGACGUAAUUAUCAAGUUGGAUAACAACAUAUAAUCAUGCAACCGAGAUUCAUUGUGCUACUUCGGGACGGGGGAAAUAAAAAACCUUCAAAUAGUUAUUUUAUAUGGCAACUUUAAUUUGUAAUUAAAAAAACUUCAGUGACAGCAAAAGAAUAUUAGUUUCAGGCUAUCAGAAUCUAUGAGAUUAAUUAGUUUUAUGAGGUUAUAACAAUUUAAUGCACAGAAUGUUCUAAAACGAUAUACCAUUUCAAACUUCGUAACACUUCCUCCAACCAUUUCUAUUGCCUCAAUUUCGACUGGUACUCAUGCAAAAAACUUUCACAGACAAAAAAAUCACAAUAGCUCAUUUCUCAAUGGCUAGUCACUAGAGUUUUUUUAUUCCAAACCCCAGUUAUUAGAUUCAAAUUAUGUUUUUAGACUAGAAUGCAGAACAAACCUUCUAUAUCACAAAUUUACAUCGAACAAAUAUUAUCCAAAGAGAAUGUAUUACUUCAAUACUUUUAUGUUUAACACAUAAUAUUUUAUAAUUAUCAUACCUCUUGCAUGUCACCCACAUAAAUCCGAUCACGAUAGGUAUGGAUAGAUGUGAUUGAAUUGGGGAAAAGCUUGUUCUCACAUUUUCUGAGCAAUCUUUUUUUCCCCAAAUCAUACAACCUAAGGACAGACCCCACACCAGCUAGUAGUCUUCCUUGGAACUGACAUAAUGCAAGAGGCACACCAUCUACCUGUGUCUUGUGCAAAAGCUCGAGGACCUUCCCAUCUUCUUUAAAUUUGUAUAUAUGAAUGUAUGCUGCUUCAAACGAUUUUUUGGGCCAAAACUGAAGGCCCUUGGCAGUACCAACAGCUAACAGAGCUCCAUGCUCCUUGUCAUGGAAAUUAACAGUGCAUAUGCUGAACGCAGCCUCAUUAUCCUGAAGCUCUAGCAGACAAGUGGUUUGUGUUGACCUUGGGUCAAGGACUCUGAUACAGGAAACCCACCUUCCUGACUCCGACUUGGGAUAACCAUAUUGUUCAUCAGAUAGUGGAUCAUUACCAUCCUCAUCUUCACCAUUCUCCACUUGUUCCGCAUUUCCAUUUUCACCAUUCCCAGCUGUCUCAAAGCACUCCUUUUUGGCAGCUUCACGCUCUUCUGCAGUAUAUGCUCCCUGGUCACUCUCUAUCAUUAUCACCAUCUUCCGUUUAGGUUGAAGAACGAACCUUCUUGGUGUAUACCUUAAAGGUAUAGCUGUUUCGUUGAAAGUUUCGCCCAAUCUCUCUAUCGUGAAGACCCUCAACGCAUCCCCAGCAACCGCUACUACACCUUCUGCACAUUGAUCCGAUGAAAAUGAGGCUGCAAAUUCAAGAGUCUCAUAUGAUAAAGGCGUCAAAAGAAAAUGCCCUUGGUGUAUAUAACCUAGCCACGGUCUACUUGACAAGCAAAGCAUAGCACGCCGUCCUCUCACAACAAUGGAAAAGAGCUUAGGGGCUCUAAGCCCCAAGAAACGUGAACGUGCAUCUGAAAGCUGCCCAGUUAUCAUAUCCACCACAGUCCUGAAUAAAACCCCAUUUUGUAAACCAGCAUUAAGAAAAAGGCUGGCAGGGUGAUCUGCACCAUCUUCUCCACCAAUAGAGGCCUGAACUUCAAGAAAAAGGAGAGACUCUGGCGGUGAAGAUACACUUUGCAGGCUCAGAACCUGCAUACAGUCAUCAGGAUCCAAUGACAAUAUACGAAUAGUGUUAUCAUAUGAUCCAACUGCAAGGAAACGGGACCUUUGUCUUCCCUCAGGAACAGGGGCAAUGUCCAGACAAGCUACAUCACCUGACAUCUCAUGCUUCUCGACUUCCAUCAGCUGGCCAGUCAUAUCCACUUCAAAAUAUAUAAGCUCCCCUCCACUUAGUGCAAUUACCACUUGAAGCCUAUUAGAUCCAACCUUGACAAUAAUUCUCUUUCCAGGAGUUCUCCAUUCAUUAAUACGGCCAUCUUCUCUAAUAUGCCUUAUUCCACUGGGAUGAACUUGCAUCAAUGAAUCAUCACCAAUCAAUGAAACAGCAAGAGAUGGAGUAGUAUCAAGAAACCCACUGUCGCUAACUUCUUCCACUGUCUCACCAAUAGAAAGCACAAGAGUUGCAUUCGCAAAAGAUACAACAAUGUAUGCAUCAAACUCAUCAUUGACAUUCUUUUUUACAGUCCAGACAGCACUAGGAACACCAGGAAGCUGUGACACAGCCAUUUCACUAACAGCUAAACCUGGCCUAAGUAUGCGCAACGAAGACCGGGGACCCCUCCCACAAAGUGAAAAUAUUUGUGGAGUUUCUUCCUCAAAAAGAUUUACUAUUUUCAUGUCCAUGAUUGGCAUCAAACUCUCAAUCUGAUCGAUCCUAACAAGAUUUUUUAGCUUUCUUGGCUGGAAAAAUACAGGCUGAAAACCUUCUUCAGUUUCCAUUAACGUCGAUGAUGAAGCUUCGACAUCAGGAUCAUCUCCUAUCGCCUGAAACUGAUACAAUGCAUGAUUCCCAAACUCUGACGCAGCAAAGAGGAACCCUGACUUCAAGACACACAGCGAAGAACUGACUGGAAUUGUAUCAAAAUAUUUGAUCUUUAACUCCUUAACUCUGUCAUUGUCGUGAUCCAAUGUCACCUUAAAGAUAUCUCCAUAUUCAGUUUGCAAAAGAAAGAAAAACAUUGACUUCUGCUUAUGCAUAGCAGCUGAAACAAUCAAAACCCCACGUUCCGCUGGCAAAUCCACCCUCCUGGGAAUAACAGCCCUAACAUCAGGGUGUCCCUGAUUCUUAUAUAUCACGAAAUUCUCCGCGCAAACAAGCACACCACUAGGACCAUCCCCACCACCAGGUACAGUAACGAGCAAAUUAGCACCAUUAUCAACCUGUUCACUCCACUUCCUCGACACGUGAUUAAGCCCUAAAUCUAAUUCAUAAAAUGUCAAAUGCUUCUGAGCCUCAUUUGCAGCCUGGCCAGUAGGAUCCUGAUCCGCCUCCGCGUAAUCCAACUCGAUCGCAGCAAAUAUGGGGUUAUCAAAUCCACAAUCAACACCACAAAUCGAGAACGUAAUAGUGUGGCUCUUAUGAGCUUCUAAAGGUGACGAAAUGGUUAACCUAGCAGCAGUAUCCCUAUUCAAAACAUACACAAGCUUCUGUUUCUCACAAGCACCAAUCAUAACAGCCCUACCUUUCGGGUCAAUACCCACAUACUGACCCGGAACUAUCCGUCUACAACCCGAUUUCCCAAAAGUCUCCUGAUGAACUUUAUCAAAAACAUUCUUCUCUUUAUUAUACUCUAAUAUCACUAUCCGACCCGAAUCCGACCCGACUACAAUAUAAUCUUUUUGUGCACCGGUUAAUCGAAAUUGAGCUAAGGAGCGUAUAGCGCCGAAGAUUUCGACGGAUAAUAAGGUUUGGAGCUUACCGUUAUCGUCGGGGCGGAGGAGGUCGAGGACUUUGCCCCGGGCGACGGCGAUUUCUUGUACUUUGCCACCGGAAAAGCUUCCGUUGAUGGCGCAGAGUAUGCCGGUGGGUUUUUGGAGUGUGAGACUGUAGAGAUACAUUUUGGGAGUAGCAGUUGGUGUACUGCUAAAACCCUAGUUUAAAAGUGAGAGUAGAAGUGAAGUGGAGUGAGGUUUAGGGUUUUGAGAGGAAGAAGAAAGAAGUUAGAUUCAGAAAUGAAAUUUGGGUUUAAACCCUAGACGAGAGUAUAGUGAAAGAUGGAGCUACAGUUUAUUUUCGGACCGGUCGUUCCGUAGAGGCGGUUCGUGCAACAACAACAACAAUAGUCCCACAAGGUGAAGAAAUGAUUUUCACAGUUUUAUUUAAUUAUUUAUUUUGAUUUCUCCCAUUUUCCUUUUUUCUGUUCAUAAUUCACCUUUGCUCUUUUUUUUUUCUUCCCAUAGUUUAUUUCUUUUCUUUUAAAAGAAAUAAUUUUUUUAUAUGGCUUCCUAAGGUCCAUUACAACAUUUUAUGCUAAAGCAUUUUAAUUUUUUUUUUUAAUGUUAGUAGGUAAGCAACCCCAAUUCCAACCGAGAGUUUGUGAGUUCGAGUCUCCCCAAAAGCAAGGUGGGAAGUUCUUGGAGGGAAGUAUGUCGGGGGUUUCUAUUUGGAAACAGCCUCUCUACCCCUGGGUAGAGGUAAGGUCCGCGUACAUAUUACCCUUCUCAGACCCCACUAAGUGAGAUUAUAUUGGAUUGUUAUUGUUUGUUAAUGUUAGUAGGAAUGGUAAGGGAAUAUCACAUGGGUGGAUUCGUACCCUCACCAUAUGAUAGAAGGACGAGGGGCACACACUAUGUCAAUUACCUUCCAAUUAUGUCGCAACUUUAAAUCUUAUGGUCACACACUAUGUCAAUUACCCUCUAAUUUUGUCGCAAGUUUAAAUCUUAGUUGUUAGUCUUGUCACAAUGAUAUUCUAAUCAUUAAAAAAUCAUAAUUUGAAUGACAGAAUCACAAGUUUAAAUAGUUAUUUUCGAUAAUCAUUUUGUACUUUCAGUAAACUAAGCGAAACAAACAAAGUAACGAAGAAGUUUGAUGAAUUGAUUGAUACAAUAACAUUUGAAGUGUAUGAUCUUUCGUCAAAGGAAGAAGGAAAGUCUAGAUUUGAAGCUUGUGGAUUCUAACUUAAUUAUCGAACAUGCUGUCCAUUUUAGUUAUUGGUUUCAUAGUUAAAAUUUUAAAUAUAAUUUUAAAAAUAUUAAUAUAAAAUAGAAUUUAAGUAAAAGCUAUUAGAUUUUUUUGAAUCCGUACCUCAAACUCUAACUCCGCCUUAAUCAAAUGCAACAGUUGGUGAAUUUCAACUAUGCAAUUAAUUUUUUUUUAUGUUAGUAUUAUUUUAAUGUGCUAUUAUUCAUACAAAUAGUAGUCAAUUAUUCUCUGUUUCUUUUUCUUUUGCACAUCGUCAGGCCAGGUUUGAGGGGCCAUACCUUUGACAUUAACAAAGUACAAAGAUUGUGUGGAUUUGUAAAGUGCAAAUGUAAACCACUACAUUAAACGAUUAACCUCUCAACCUCAUACCAAAAUAAUACAGGACUUUUUCCCAUUUUUAGUCCAUUUUUAACUUAGUUCUCAAGGAAACUACAAUGCAACAACAACAACAACUAUCCAAUAUAGUCCCAUAAAGUGGGUAAGGAAACUACAAUAUAGAAAGAAGAAAAAAACAGCUAUGCAAUCUGUGGAAUUACUAGAGCGAGAAAAUUUAUUCACAUCCGGUAUUUAUAUUAAAUUAAUUAUUAUAUAAAAAAAGGGCAGUCUGAUGUACCAAGCUUCUGUUAUGCGUGAGAUCCGGAAAAGGGCCAGACCACAAGAGUUAUUGUAUGCAGUCUAACCCUGCAUUUCUAAAAGAGGAUGUUUCUGACAACAACUUUACCAAUUACGCCAAGACUCCCUUUCAAACUAACGAUUAUAUGCUUAAUGAUAAUAAACUAAUAUGGUUUGAUAUAAGCACAAGCUGUAAACAAUAUUUUCCCAGACUUCUUCACUACCAUUAUGAUAAUGUACUAUUACUGCCUAAAUGAUCAACUAAACACAUUACAGAGUAGGUUCAACAAAACUAAUGCCUUAAACUUUUUCUAUGGAUUUUGUUAUUGCAACUAAACAUUUUACCUAAACCAUUUCAUCUGCUCCACUUAAUAGGAAGCUUGUAACUAAACUAUUUAUACUCAGUUAGCCUACACUCAUUCAUCACCAACAAGCAUCUGCUCAAUUCUUCAUUUGCCUCUUCUCAUCAAUCAUCAUAUAGCAACAUUCACAAGCAAAAAAUGGUCAAAUUUUCCCAACUCUGCUCUAAAACAUUCCAAUUCACCUUUUGCAUUUUGCUAUUAACCCUAUCAUUUGACAUCGCUACUCCAGCGAGAAUCCUCGAUGAGGUGAGCUCAGAUGAACCUGUUGUUGCUCCUGUGGUGGCCCCGGCCACCACAUUGCCAAGUGGCCACUUUCCAGCCACAGUUACCGCUCCUGAUUCGAACUCGGAACCUAUAGAGGGUGAUGAUUCUUCUAUUCCUGCAAACACUGUGGCUCCUUCAGCUGAUUUUCCAACCGAACCCGAGCCUGAUACAGCUCCUGUCGUUUCCCCAUCUGCUCCAGUGACUCAUGCUGCUGAUGCAACAACAAACACUGGAGCAACACAUGUUACCAAUGAGGCACCAGAAGCCGCUGGUACGUCUGGUGCCACAGUGGCAAAUCCUAUUCCAGAGGGCCACUCAACGUUCUCAUUCUUCAUGCAUGACAUACUUGGCGGUACACACCCGUCAGGAAGAGUGGUCACUGGAAUUGUAGCCAACACGGAUGCCAACAAUUUACCUUUCUCAAAAGAAAACAACCAAGUCUUCCCAAUCGACGGUGGUGUUCCCCUCAACAACAUCAACAACAUUGUCAACAACAACAAUUAUCCUUUCCUAGUAGGCCUCAACGGACAACAACAAUCCAACACUGUCCUACAAAACACAGGCAACAACAACAUUGUCGACAGCGGGGACAACCAACCUUUUGUCACAGCCGGGCAACUCCCUACUGGCCUAUCCCUUCAACAACUCAUGUUCGGAUCAAUUACUGUUGUAGACAAUGAAAUAACAGAAGGACAUGAAUUGGGAUCAGCUAUUCUUGGUAGAGCACAAGGAUUUUACUUGACGAGUUCUUCGGAUGGGACGAGUCAUACUUUAGCUUUAACAACAUUGUUCCAUGGGCAGCAUGAACAUGAAGUGGAUGAUACUAUUAGUUUCUUUGGUAUUCACAGGACCGCGACGCCAAUUUCUCACAUUGCUAUUAUUGGAGGUACUGGAAAAUAUGAGAAUGCUAAAGGGUAUGCUACAAUUGAAACUCUGCCUCAUGUGGAUCAACAUACAACUGAUGGUGUUGAAACUAUUACACACUUCACUGUGUACAUUACCCCUUAAAAAAGUGUUUGUUCUAAGAGAAGGGGCUUAUUUAUUAUGUUUGGUUUUCUGUAUUUCUGAUUCUUCACACUUCGGUUUGAUGAACUUUUCAUGUAAUUGUAUGGUUAAUUCUGAUUAAUGUUAUGAUAUAUAUUAAAGCUUUUAAUUUACUUGGUCCAAAAGAAGAGGAACUUCGGGCGUAAAUGGUAAAAUUAUUGUCAUGUAACCAGGAGGUCACGGGUUCAAAUAGCAAAACCAACCUCUUCUAGAAAUCUAGACCCUUGUGGUCUGAUUCUUCCUCUGAUCUCGUCCAUCGUAGUGUACCGGGCUGCAUUUUUUUUAAUCUACAAUUGUCGAAUUUGUGAUUUGGCUGUCAAUAAUUGCUUACCUACAAGUUUAGAAUAUAAGAAAGUGUUCAGUGUUAAAGAAUAGCGAAAGGUAAUGACUAAUUUUUAGUUAAGAAAUUGAUAUGAUUUCUAAUUUUACAAGGAUCUUACGAAAAUGUGAUAACAGAUUUAAGAGUUUUUGUUACUUGGGUUUUGCAUAAUAUUCGUACAUUAUAAAUCAUAAUAUAACAACUAAAAUUAGGAAUAAUAUGUUAGCAAUAUAUACUAUUAAUCAUGAGUUUGAUUUAGAUAUACUCCCUCCGGUCCAAAAUAAGUGAGUUUUUGGCCCUUUUUUGUGGUCCAAAAUAAGUGAUUUUUCCAGAUUUCAAGAAUGAAAGUUCUUCCUUGAUCCCGUCCAUAAUGAAAGCUUAGUGUAUCCGGCUGCAUUUUUUUUAAUCUACAAUUGUCGAAUUUGUGAUUUGGCUGUCAAUAAUUGCUUACCUACAAGUUUAAAAUAUAAGAAAGUGUUCAGUAUUAAAGAAUAGCGAAAGGUAAUGACUAAUUUUUAGUUAAGUAAUUGAUAUGAUUGCUAAUUUUACAAGGAUCUUACGAAAUUGUGAUAACAGAUUUAAAAGUUUUUGUUACUUUGGGUUUUGCAUAAUAUUCGUACAUUAUAAAUCAUAAUAUAACAACUAAAUUAGGAAUAAUAUGUUAGGGAUAUAUACUAUUAAUCAUGAGUUUGGCUUAGAUAUACUCCCUCCGGUCCAAAAUAAGUGAGUUUUUGGUCCCUUUUUGUGGUCUAAAAUAAGUGAUUUUUCCAGAUUUCAAGAAUGAAUUAAUUAUUUUUUUCCUACGUUAUCCUUGGAAUAAAUAGUGUUGGAAUAUGUGUUAGGAGUGUUUAUAUGAGAUAGUAAAGGUUAAUAUAGUCAAUUUUAUUGCUAAUUAAUGCUACAAGGUGGAUUCUUAAUAUAUGUGAAAAUAUCCAAAAAAUCACUUAUUUUGGAACGGAGGGAGUAGUAUUUAAUAUGAAGCAAUUGUUUAUCUAGUUUUAAUAAAGUUUUAAAUAAAUCAUAUAUUAGUCUAUGUCCUUUGCUAUAUAGUAGAUGAUUUAGUAUAUACACAGAAAGAUUAAAUCAUCGGUUCUUAUAAGUAUAAAGUUUGACACAAUCUAAUGAUAGAAUUGGACAAACCAUCAGGAAUGAUUGUAGCAUAAGAUGAAAUAUAAUUUAUUUUGAUUAUGAGAAUGGUUUAAUUCCAACUUCUUGUGCUAGUAUAUUUUGUAUGUAUUGAAUAGACCAAGUAGAGAUAAGUAUUUUAUACUGACUUAAUAAAAUAAACUCUCUAGCCAUUAAAUGUNNNNNNNNNNNNNNNNNNNNNNNNNNNNNNNNNNNNNNNNNNNNNNNNNNNNNNNNUAAUAAAAUAAACUCUCUAGCCAUUAAAUGUACUUAUACUCUUAAUCUUGAUAUAAUUAUUAUUAGCUGUGUAUAUUAUUAUUAUUUUAAUUUAUUAAAAUACGAGAUUCUUUCGUGGGUCAAUAUGCCUGGUAAAUUGGAUAAUAAUAAUGUACAUUGGCGAAAUAAUAGUUAGAUGAUGGAAUCCAUAUCUCGGUUUAGAGAUUGAUGAUACACCUUUAUGAAAGCUUAUAAGUUUUCAUGUGUAAACCUGGUAGAUGGAUUUUGUAUCUGAUACAUGAAAUAAGUUAAGUGAAAGUCUAAAGGAAAUAAUUAAUAAAUUAAAUCGUCAAUAAUUUAAUUUAAUUGAUUAGUAGCUGAAUCUUAAUAUGGGGAUUUAAAUAAGAUUUAAUGGAUGAAUAUAAAAUUGAAUAAGGAGUGCAAUUACAAAUUCUAAGUGGAAUAAUUCGUAAUCAAUUAUGGUGGAUAUUAAUUUUGAAAUUACAAAUUAAUUCCAUAAUUGGAAGCCUUGUUAAUUAAAUUAUGUGGUCCUACUGUGCCUAGAUAAUAAGAAAUAAAGGAAUCAUUUUUCUGGUGGAAAAGAAAACCCAACAGGUUUUGGAAAAUGGUUUUAACCCUUAAAACUUGUGCUAUAAAUACAUAAGGUUUUCCACCUAGAGAGAUGAGCACAUGGUGGCCGAAUUUCAGCCUUUUUCCUUUGAAAAUUUUGCCCACAUGAAAUUGUUAUUUUCAGGUAUUAUUUGGGUAACACAGUAGAAGACCGUGGAACGUUCGAAGACUGUGAUCGUGCGGGUGGUGAAGAAUUUAUUGAGUUGAUGUGGAAUUGAAAGCUCACGUGAUAAAGGAGCUUUGUUCACGCUUUAAGAAGUAACCCGUGAAAUCCUGUUUAUGGUAGUUGUUUAGAUUACAUGUGAUUUUAAUACUAGGAUUGCUUUCACUGCUUAUUAUAAUUCAUCAAUUGGUAUAAGAGCUCACUCACAUCUAAUUAAAUAACUAAGUUGUUUUAUGAAACAAGAAUAUCGUGUUUAUGUGCGUUUUUAAUUACAUAUAUAUGUGGUUUUUUGAAAACUACACUACUGUUUUGUGAAUUAAAUUUGUAAAAAAUUUAGAUUAUUCUUGUAGUAAUGAGAUAUCUGUUUUCUAUUGAUAUUUGAUUAGGAUAAUUUGGAUAUUUUUUUGCAAAACCUUAGAAAAACACAAAACUUGAUUUUGAUCGAAUUGCCGGUAAUUUUGGAGGUUAGCGAACAUGACGAACUCCGAUUGAGCUGAAAUUUUGUAAGUACAUCGGAGGCGACGUGGUGAGAAAAACUAAUUGCUUUAGCAGGGAAUCAUGGCGCGUUUUAAUAUCAUUUGUACUGUAUUUUGGACGUUUUUCUAUUUUCAAAAAAUUAUUUCUUAAUAAUUUUAGUUUGGUUUUAAUUCAAUGAUGAUGGGGAAAACUCCCCUGGUCUCCAUGAUUAAAUGCUAAUUAUUUACACAUUGGCUAUUAGUAAAUAUACGUAUUGUUGUAUUAAAUUCAAUAAUAGAGGUGUAGGGUUUUAUUGACUAGGUCUUACAAGGUAUAUUGAUAUUGUGUGAUGAUAUAAUUAUUUUUUAAGAAAGUAAAAUCCUCUAUAUCCUAGAUGACUAAAAAUUGGAGCGUUUGGCAUUCUGUGCAUAAAAAAUUCUCAAAUUUUAGUUUAUGUUUUCAUGCCCUACGUGAUUACUAGUCUUGGAUUUUUGAUGAAAAAUUUGUUCUCUGGUUGGAGGCUGUAAUUAAGUGAAAUAUGAUAAUAUUUUUUAUAAGUUUAUAUUAUUGGCAUGUCUUUUAAGCCGUGGUCCAUAAUCUGUAAUAAAAUAAUUAUAUGAGCUACAUGUGUCUUCACUUGUAAAUUGAGAAUUUUGUGAGUAAUAAAUAGUUGCCACUAAAGUGAUUUGUUUAUUUGGACUCAUGAAUAUUUUUUAAUAAAUUUGUACAUGUGAAAUUGUGUCUAUUCAUGGAUUGAGCAUUAUGAUCAAUAAGUAGGAUCUACAAAAUGGUCUAUUUAUUUGAGUCAUUGAAAUCUGCUUAAUGUACCAUGUGAAAAUUAUCCUUGAUAAAUCUACAUUAGUGGUGGAGGUUCUUAACUAUAAAAAGGAGUUUUAACUUUGGGUACUAGUGAGACCACCUCCACCCAUGAGAAGAGAUAUUAAGUUUUUUCCCGAACGAUACAAAACAUAAUAUCUUAGGUUCUUGUAUAUUUUAUAAAAGGAUAAUUUAUUGAAAAAAGUGAUAUUAUGUAUCAUAGAAAUAGGAAGACCAUAAUAUAUGGCUUGAGCUCAUAGUAUAAUUAUAAGGAAAAUGAAAAUCAAUAUCAUAUUUAUUUUAAUUCAUGAAAUUACUUAAAACGGUUAUUUUUCUGACUUUGGUUACAGGCUGAUGGUCAUGAAUUUGACGGACUCCGAUUGACCUGAAACUUGGUAGGUUCAUCAAAAAUGAUCCAUUGAGAAAAACUUACGGCUAUGCAGUAAAUCAUGUUGUUUUCGGUAUUUUGAGAUCGUUUAGAUGAAUUUUCAAGCAGUUUAUUAAAUAGAAUUUAUUAUAAAUAUGAAAAAUUAUUCUUUAUAUAUCGGUUAUAUUUGUGUUAAAUCUGAAACAUGAUGAUUUAACUUAAUAUGUUGUCGUGCGCCCUUUUUCCUUCACAGGGAGAAGUCCGGGUUUCGACAUUCACGGGGUAUAAUGACUCAUUUCCUUUUAAGAAUUCGGUAUUUCAAGAGUCGCCACCUAACGAAUCAAGGUGCAUCGGGGAACCUAGAGUAAUUAACUCUUGGGUUGGUUUGCAUUAUUAGAGAUUAGGGUAAGGCUCGAAGUAACCUCAAGGGGAAGGUGUUAGGAACCCCUCUUGGUCCACAACUGUGGGUCCCGACCAAACUUAUAUUUACAAAUUUGUCCAUACAAAUAGUUGAAUCAAAUAGGUUGUUUGCAAAGCACAUUGAGCAAUUUAUGUAGUGAAAUAAAGACUUGAACAAAUUAUAUAAAAAAAGUUUAAAUAAGGAGAGGAUUUGGGAUAAGGAGAGGUCCUAGGUUAUUUAUCCUAUAGGAUCGCCCCACGCAAUGUCCAGUGAACACUCCUCAAUGAGGGGCUACAUGUGACAUUAACGCGUCGUUAUUAAAUUCCAUGUCUAUCCUUCACAUCCCCUUAUUGGUUAUGCAAAGCGAGUGUUUGGUCUCUGAUUCCUAUUUCGUGUUGCUACUCAUCCCCUUUAAUAGUCCCGGAGAGUGUCAGGACCUCUUAUUAUGGGUAGUACUAGACGUACCCCUAAGGUUUAUAAAGGUAAAAACUCUAAGGCGACAGUUAAAAUAUUUAGGACUUUCACAUAAUGGGAGCAAUUAAGAGGCUCACAGUUUCCUCCUAAAACAUACAUACAAGCAGCAUGUCUCAAGCACAAUUAAGGUCUUUAUUAAUUAAAGUCCUAAAGCAGGAUUCUCUAUGUGAAUAUGCAGGAGCAGACCAAACUUUAUACCUAGAAGUUAUAACUUAGCAUUUGCCUAAGGACUUCUUUUAAAAGCUAUGAGGAUUAGAAACGUUAAACAUCAGAAACAACUUCAAAGAAUGCAGAUUUUGGGAAUGUCCUAAGACUUGCCUAUAUGUAGUAUAUUGUGUUUUUGUUAAUGCAGAAGCAAACAGGUUCUCAAAAUAGACCUUUUAAUACAUAUAUGCAGGAUGUCUAAUGAGAUUAAAGCAAUUUUGAAAUAACUGAUUUCAGGAAAUAUUGACACUUAAUAAGACUAGUUUAAGAAGUAAACUAGGCGAAAUGAAAUUGAUUUAUUAGGCUAAUUAUAUUAUCAGACAUAACUGCGAAUGAAAAUUCCAAUAGGCAUGGCAUCUAGGCUCAUUACAAGUUUUAGUUAAUUUACGGUAACAUGAGGAAAGACUUAUUAGAACUAAAUCGGAAUCGAGUCCUAUAUGAAUGGUAUGUAUACUUGAAUUUGAUUUAAGACAUGAUGGUUUGGAACCUAUAAACAUGAUCUCUAACAUUGGAAGUGAAACCUUAUAGGCGUGAUUUCUAUUUGAUGCAAACGAAAUUAGAGGUGAAAUUCUAUGGACAUGAUUUCUAUUAUGCAAACAAUGAUUAUAUGCUUAAUCAUAAUAAACUAAUAUGGUUUGAUAUAAGCACAUGCUGUAAACAAUAUUUUCCCAGACUUCUUCACUACCAUUAUGAUAAUGUACUAUUACUGCCUAAAUGAUCAACUAAACACAUUACAGAGUAGGUUCAACAAAACUAAUGCCUUAAACUUUUUCUAUGGAUUUUGUUAUUGCAACUAAACAUUUUACCUAAACCAUUUCAUCUGCUCCACUUAAUAGGAAGCUUGUAACUAAACUAUUUAUACUCAGUUAGCCUACACUCAUUCAUCACCAACAAGCAUCUGCUCAAUUCUUCAUUUGCCUCUUCUCAUCAAUCAUCAUAUAGCAACAUUCACAAGCAAAAAAUGGUCAAAUUUUCCCAACUCUGCUCUAAAACAUUCCAAUUCACCUUUUGCAUUUUGCUAUUAACCCUAUCAUUUGACAUCGCUACUCCAGCGAGAAUCCUCGAUGAGGUGAGCUCAGAUGAACCUGUUGUUGCUCCUGUGGUGGCCCCGGCCACCACAUUGCCAAGUGGCCACUUUCCAGCCACAGUUACCGCUCCUGAUUCGAACUCGGAACCUAUAGAGGGUGAUGAUUCUUCUAUUCCUGCAAACACUGUGGCUCCUUCAGCUGAUUUUCCAACCGAACCCGAGCCUGAUACAGCUCCUGUCGUUUCCCCAUCUGCUCCAGUGACUCAUGCUGCUGAUGCAACAACAAACACUGGAGCAACACAUGUUACCAAUGAGGCACCAGAAGCCGCUGGUACGUCUGGUGCCACAGUGGCAAAUCCUAUUCCAGAGGGCCACUCAACGUUCUCAUUCUUCAUGCAUGACAUACUUGGCGGUACACACCCGUCAGGAAGAGUGGUCACUGGAAUUGUAGCCAACACGGAUGCCAACAAUUUACCUUUCUCAAAAGAAAACAACCAAGUCUUCCCAAUCGACGGUGGUGUUCCCCUCAACAACAUCAACAACAUUGUCAACAACAACAAUUAUCCUUUCCUAGUAGGCCUCAACGGACAACAACAAUCCAACACUGUCCUACAAAACACAGGCAACAACAACAUUGUCGACAGCGGGGACAACCAACCUUUUGUCACAGCCGGGCAACUCCCUACUGGCCUAUCCCUUCAACAACUCAUGUUCGGAUCAAUUACUGUUGUAGACAAUGAAAUAACAGAAGGACAUGAAUUGGGAUCAGCUAUUCUUGGUAGAGCACAAGGAUUUUACUUGACGAGUUCUUCGGAUGGGACGAGUCAUACUUUAGCUUUAACAACAUUGUUCCAUGGGCAGCAUGAACAUGAAGUGGAUGAUACUAUUAGUUUCUUUGGUAUUCACAGGACCGCGACGCCAAUUUCUCACAUUGCUAUUAUUGGAGGUACUGGAAAAUAUGAGAAUGCUAAAGGGUAUGCUACAAUUGAAACUCUGCCUCAUGUGGAUCAACAUACAACUGAUGGUGUUGAAACUAUUACACACUUCACUGUGUACAUUACCCCUUAAAAAAGUGUUUGUUCUAAGAGAAGGGGCUUAUUUAUUAUGUUUGGUUUUCUGUAUUUCUGAUUCUUCACACUUCGGUUUGAUGAACUUUUCAUGUAAUUGUAUGGUUAAUUCUGAUUAAUGUUAUGAUAUAUAUUAAAGCUUUUAAUUUACUUGGUCCAAAAGAAGAGGAACUUCGGGCGUAAAUGGUAAAAUUAUUGUCAUGUAACCAGGAGGUCACGGGUUCAAAUAGCAAAACCAACCUCUUCUAGAAAUCUAGACCCUUGUGGUCUGAUUCUUCCUCUGAUCUCGUCCAUCGUAGUGUACCGGGCUGCAUUUUUUUUAAUCUACAAUUGUCGAAUUUGUGAUUUGGCUGUCAAUAAUUGCUUACCUACAAGUUUAGAAUAUAAGAAAGUGUUCAGUGUUAAAGAAUAGCGAAAGGUAAUGGCUAAUUUUUAGUUAAGAAAUUGAUAUGAUUUCUAAUUUUACAAGGAUCUUACGAAAAUGUGAUAACAGAUUUAAGAGUUUUUGUUACUUGGGUUUUGCAUAAUAUUCGUACAUUAUAAAUCAUAAUAUAACAACUAAAAUUAGGAAUAAUAUGUUAGCAAUAUAUACUAUUAAUCAUGAGUUUGAUUUAGAUAUACUCCCUCCGGUCCAAAAUAAGUGAGUUUUUGGCCCUUUUUUGUGGUCCAAAAUAAGUGAUUUUUCCAGAUUUCAAGAAUGAAAUACUUAUUGUUUUUUCCUACAUUAUCCUUGGAAUAAAUGUGUUGGAAUAUAUAUUAGGAGUGUUUAUGUGAGAUAGUAAAGGUUAAUAUAGUCAAUUUCAUUGCUAAUUAAUGCUACAAGGUGGAUUUCUUAAUAUAUGUGAAAAUAUCCAAAAAAUCACUUAUUUUGGAACGGAGGGAGUAAUAUUUAAUAUGAAGCAAUUGUUUAUCUAGUUUUAAUAAAGUUUUAAAUAAAUCAUAUAUUAGUCUAUGUCCUUUGCUUAUAUAAUAGAUGAUUUAGUGUAUAGAGUUUAGUGUAUACACAGAAAGAUUAAAUCAUCGGUUCUUAUAAGUAUAAAGUUUGAGUUCACAAUCUAAUGAUGGAAUUGAACAAACCAUCAGGAAUGAUUGUAGCAUAAGAUUAAAUAUAAUUUAUUUUGAUUAUGAGAUUGGUUUAAUUCCAACUUCUUGUGCUAGUAUAUUUUGUAUGUAUUGAAUAGACCCAGUAGAGAUAAGUAUUUUAUACUGACUUAAUAAAAUAAACUCUCUAUCCAUUAAAUGUACUUAUNNNNNNNNNNNNNNNNNNNNNNNNNNNNNNNNNNNNNNNNNNNNNNNNNNNNNNNNNNNNNNNNNNNNNNNNNNNNNNNNNNNNNNNNNNNNNNNNNNNNNNNNNNNNNNNNNNNNNNNNNNNNNNNNNNNUCAUGGAUUGAGCAUUAUGAUUAAUAUUGGAUAAUAAUAAUGUACAUUGGCGGAGUAAUAGUUAUUUGAUGGAAUCCAUGUCUCGGUUUAGAGAUUGAUGAUACACCUUUAUGAAAGCUUAUAAGUUUUCAUGUGUAAACUCGGCCGAUGGAUUUUGUAUCUGAUACAUGAAAUAAGUUAAGCGAAAGUCUAAAGGAAAUAAUCAAUAAAUUAAAUCGUCAAUAAUUUAAUUUCAUUGAUUAGUAUCUGAAUCUUAAUAUGGGGAGUUAAAUAAGAUUUAAUGGAUGAAUUUAAAAAAUGAAUAAGGAGUGCAAUUAAACAAAUUCUAAGUAGAAUAAUUCGUAAUUAAUUAUGGUGAAUAUUAGUUUUGAAAAUUACAAAUUAAUUCCAUAAUUGAAAGCUUGUUUAUUAAAUUAUGUGGUUGUACCGUGCCUAGAUAAUAAGAAAUAAAGGAAUCAUUUUUUUUGUGGAAAAGAAACCCAACAAGUUUUGGAAAAGGGUUUUAACUCUUAAAACUUGUGCUAUAAAUACAUAAGGUUUUCCACACAGAGGGAUGAGCACAUGGUGGCCGAAUUUCAGCCUUUUUUCCUUAGAAAAUUUUGCCCACAUGAAAUUGCUAUUUUCAGGUAUUAUUUGGGUAACACAGUAGAAGACCGUAGACGUUCGAAGACUGUGAUCGUGCGGGCGGUGAAGAAUUUAUUGAGUUGAUGUGGAAUUGAAAGCUCACGUGAUAAAAGAGCUUUGUUCACGCUUCAAGAAGUAACCCGUGAAAACCCGUUUAUGGCAGUUGUCUAGAUUACAUGUGAUUUUAAUACUAGGAUUCCUUUCGUUGCUUAUUAUAAUUCAUAGUUGGUAUCAGAGCCCACUCACGUCUAAUUAAAUAACUAAGUUUUUUAUGAAACAAGAAUAUCGUGUUUAUGUGCGUUUUUUAAUUACAUAUAUAUGUGGUUUUUUGAAAACUACACUACUGUUGAAUUAACUUUGUAAAAAAUUUAGAUUAUUCUUGUAGUAAUGAGAUAUCUGUUUUUAUUGAUAUUUGAUUAGGAUAAAUUUGGAUAUUUUUUUGGUAAACCCUAGAAAAACGCAAAGCCUGAUUUUGAUUGAAUUGCCGGUGUUUUUGGAGGUUAGUGAACUUGACGAACUCCGAUUGAGCUGAAAUUUUGUAUGUCCAUUGAAGGCGACGUGGUGAGAAAAACUAAUUGCUUUAGCAGUGAAUCAUGGUGCGUUUUAAUAUCAUUUGUACUGUAUUUUGGACGUUUUUCUAUUUUCAGAAAAUUAUUUCUUGAUAAUUUUAGUAUGGUUUUAAUUCAAUGAUGAUGGGGGAAAAUCCCCUGGUCUCCAUGAUUAAAUGCUAAUUAUUUACCCAUUGGCUAUUAGUAAAUAUACGUAUUGUUGUAUUAAAUUCAAUAGUAGAAGUGUAAGGUUUUAUUGGCUAGGUCUUACAAGGUAUAUUGAUAUUAUGUGAUGAUAUAAUUAUUUUUUAAGAGAGUAAAAUCCUCUGUUUGAUAUCGUAGAUGACUAAAAAUUGGAGCGUUUGGCAUUCUGUGCAUAAACAAUUUAUCAAAUUUUAGUUUAUGUUUUCAUGCCCUACGUGAUUACUAGUCUUUGAUUAUUGGCAUGGCUUUUAAGUCGUGGUCCAUAAUCUGUAAUAAAAUAAUUAUAUGAGCUACAUGUGUCUUCACUCGUAAAUUGAGAAUUUUGUGAGUAAUAAAUAGUUACCACUAAAGUGGUUUGUUUAUUUGAACUCAUGAAAUUUUUUAAAUAAUUUUGUACAUGUGAAAUUAUGUCUAUUCAUGGAUUGAGCAUUAUGAUUAAUAAGCAGGAUCUACAAAAUGGUCUAUUUAUUUGGGUCAUUAAAAUCUGCUUAAUGUACCAUGCGAAAAUUAUCCUUGAUAAAUCUACAUUAGCGGUGGAGGUUCUUAACUAUAAAAAAGAGUUCUAAUUUUUGGUACUAGUGAGACCACCUCCACCCAUGAGAAGAGAUAUUAAGUUUUUUCCCGAACGGUAGAAAACGUAAUAUCUUAGGUUCUUGUAUAUUUAGUAAAAGGAUAAUUUAUUGCAAAAAGUGAUAUUAUGUAUCAUAGAAAUAGAAAGACCACAAUAUAUGGCUUGAGCUCAUAGUAUAAUUAUAAGGAGAAUGAAAAUCAAUAUCAUAUUUAUUUUAAUUCAUGAAAUUACUUUAAACGGUUAUUUUUCUGAGUAACCACAGGCUGGUGGUCAAGAAUUUGACGGACUCCGAGUAACCUGAAACUUGGUAGGUUCAUCGAAAACGAUCUAGUGAGAACAAAUUACUGCUAUGCAGUAUAUCAUGUUGUUUUUCGGUAUUUUGAGAUCGUUUAGAUGAAUUUUCAAGCAGUUUAUUAAAUUGAAUUUGUUAUAAAUAUGAAAAAUUAUUCUUUAUAUAUCGGCUAUAUUUGUGUUAACUAAAAAACAUGAUGAUUUAACUUAAUAUGUGUCGUGCGCCCUUUUUCCUUCGCAGGGAGAAGUCCGGGUUUCGACAUUCACGGGGCAUAAUGACUCAUUUCCUUUUAAGAAUUGGGUAUUUGAAGAGUGGCCACCUAACAAAUUAAGGUGCAUCGGGGAACCUAGAGUAAUUAACUCAUGGAUUGGUUUGCAUUACUAGGGAUUAGGGUAAGGGCUCGAAGUAACCUCGAGGGGAAGGUGUUAGGCACCCCUCUUGGUCCACAACCAAACUUAUAUUCACAAAUCCAUACAAAUAGUUGAAUCAAAUAGGUUGUUUGUAAAGCACAUUGAGCAAUUUAUGUAGUGAAAUAAAGGUUUGAAGAAAUUAUAUAAAAAAAAGUUUAAAUAAGGAGAGGAUUUGGGAUAAGUAGAGGUCCUAGGUUAUUUAUCCUAUAGGAUCGCCCCACGCAAUUUCCAGUGAACACUCCUCAAUGAGGGGCUACACGUGACAUUAACGCGUAGUUAUCAUAUUCCAUGUCUAUCCUUCACAUCCCUUAUUGGUCAUGAAAAGCGAGUGUUUGGUCUCUGAUUCCUAUUGCGUGUUGCUACUCAUCCCCUUUAAUAGUCCCGGAGGGUGUCAGGACCUCUUCUUAUGGGUAAUUCUAGACGUACCCCUAAGGUUUAGAAAGGUAAAAACUCUAAGGCGACAGUCAAAAUAUUUGGGACUUUCACAUAAUUGGAGCAAUUAAGAGGCUCAUAGUUUCCUCCUCAAACAUACAUGCAAGCAGCACGUCUCAAGCACAAUUAAAGUCUUUAUUAAUUAAAGUCCUAAAUCAGGAUUCUAUAUGUGAAUUUGCAGGAGCAUACCAAACUUUAUACCUAGAAGUUAUAACUUAGCAUUUGCCUAAGGACUUCUUUUAAAAGCUAGGAGGAUUAGAAACGUUAAACGUCAGAAACAACUUCAGAGAAUGCAGAUUUUGAGAAUGCCCUAAGACUUGCCUAUAUGCAGUAUAUUGUGUUUAUGUUAAUGCAGAAGCAAACAUGUUCUCAAAAUAGACCGUUUAACACAUAUAGGCAGGAUAUCUAAUGAGAUUAAAACAAUUUUGAAAUAACAGAUUUCAGGAAAUGUUGACACUUAAUAAGACUAGUUUUAAGAAGUAAACUAGGCGAAAUGAUAUUGAUUUAUUAGGCUAAUUAUAUUAUCAGACAUAAUUGCAAAUGAAAAUUCCUAUAGGCAUGGAAUCUAGGCUUAUUACAAGUUUUAGUUAAUUUAUAGUAACAUGAGGAAAGACUUAUUAGAACUAAAUCGGAAUCGAGUCCUAUAUGCAUGGUAUCUAUACUUGAAUUUGAUUUAAGACAUGAUGGUUUGGAACCUAGAAACAUGGUCUCUAACAUGACAAAUGCAUAAUAUUAUGGAUAUGGUUUCUAUCUGACGCAAAGGACGUUGGAAGUGAAACCUUAUAGGCAUGAUUUCUAUUUGAUGCAAACGAAAUUAGAGGUGAAAUCCUAUGGGCAUGGUUUCUAUUAUGCAAACAAAAUUAGAAGUGAAAUCCUGUAGGCAUGGUUUAUAUUAUGCAAAAGCAAUCAGAUUCAGCAAGAGUAACACCCUAUGAACAUAUUUUCUAUCGAGUAAAGCAGGCAGAUUUGAAAAGUGAGAUCUUCGGAGAAGGAUUUCUACCCAUAUUACCCCACAAAAUAUCUAUCUACCCCCAUUUUCACUAAGGGAAUCUACAAUUAGGACCAAGUCUUCCAAAGCCUCCAAUGGUCUUACAAGCCUCGUUUCCAUAGACAAAUCAGAGUCUAGGUGCACUAAAUUUCCCUAAAGGUCUCAAGGACCCCAGGCAAUACUUACACCUAGACUUAGUAACCAAGCAUUGAACCAUUGCAGUAUGGAAAGGCCAGCCUCAGUAUUCCAGAGUUCAGAGGGCUCUCAAGAGGAACACAAGGCAGUACACAUACUAGAGAUGACAGAACUUAUUAACUAAGAGUGACGGGGAAUUGGAAGACACAAGUUUGAAAGAGUUAUUGAAGACUGUAUUGGAAAUCCUAUUUUGAAAGCACUUAAUAAAGCAACAGAUAUUGCUCGAAAGGAGGUUGGAGUAGUAAACAAGUUUAAACACCUUAGGAAAAGAUCACGCAUAGCUAGUUUUUCAGAAUUCAAUAGUCAUACAGGGGUCAAGGGGUUUGGGGAUACAUAAACAUUUGAAUACAAACACAUGACCCCAACAAUGGGUCUUAGGACUGGUUUGGACAUGCUCAGAGAUAGUUAACACUUGCAUAAUCACAACUAAUCAAGAAAAAUACAAAUACGUAGAAGGGGUGAUAAAGAUGAGAUUCACAAAAAUGAUAAGUACAAAGUAGGUAAAUGAUAAUUGUUCAGGCACACUUUGAAUCACAUAAGGGAAUAUAGUGAUUUAAAGGGAAGGGGAUUCAUACUAACAUGCUGAUAAUGUAACUUAACCAUAAAUUUCACAACAGAAUUACAAGUAGAAGCAAGCUAGAAAUAAAAAAAAUUGAAACAAUAAGAAAAGCAUAUUUUUGUUAGAGCUUUAAAUUAAACUAGGACAUACCAGUGAAGCUAGAAGUAAGCAGAAUGAAAGAACCAAAGUGCACAAAUGAUUAGCUCUAGCUUGCAGCCGGCUAAUAGUAGCAAAUAUCACAAGAGAGAGGGGAAAACAAAGAUUUUUAAUAAGAGAGGAGUUUUGAAAACCAAUUGUUUUUGUUAAUGAAAUACUUAGGGUAUUUAUAGUUGAAAGUAGGUAGUGAGAUAAGGUGAAAAUCAUAGUAGUAUACUAAUUUAAGAACUCAGAAUCAAUCAAUUAGAGAACCAAGGAGGUACUCCCUUAGGUUAAGGGAAUAAAAUCAAACUGGGAGAUUCAAUAUCAUAUAAGGCAAGAAGAAAAAUCAGUGCAUGACUGAAUAAGGAAGGAGUCAAGGUUCAGUAAGCAUAGAGUAGUCGAUUAGGACCAAAUUCAUAAAGCCUUAAUUAAGAACAGAAAUCAAUAGAGAUAAGUAUCAUAUCAAAUAUGGUAAGGAAAUCAGUCGGCUUAAACAGACGGGGUAAAGCUUGUAAGGCUUUAAAAGAAAAUCUUUCAAUGUCCAUCAAGUAAGGAAAUCAGAAUCAAUCAAGAGGGAGUCAUGAUUAUGCAUUUUCAACAUAUAAAUAGAGGAGAUCAAUAGAUGUAGAAAAGGGAAAAGUUAGCCAUAUUGACAGAAAGAAGCAAGAGAUGAAAAAACAAAGUGAACAUAGUCACAUAGAAGUGACAUAAGUAGGCUAGGAAUUUAGUAAAACACAUUCAAAAUAUGGUGAGGGUCUAUUUGGAAACAGUCUCUCUACCCCAAGGUAGGGUAAGGUCUGCGUACACACUACCCUCCCCAGACCCCACUAUAUGGGAUUAUACUGGGUUGUUGUUGUUGUUGUAAACUACUAGCAUCGAAGAUGCUCUUAUUUCCACUACCUCUUAACGGUUGUUACUAAAGUUUAUGACUUUAUCCAUAUAUAGAUAGGGUAUUGAGGGGGGUUUGCUUUUCGUCCAAAGUGUACUUCUUACUUUAUAUACUUGUUUUGCUGAUAUUAGGUAAGAAGAGAUUUAAGGCUCCUCCAAGCAGCUAAUUUGGAGGAGGUUUUGAGUGCCUCCUUUCAAGUUCUUUAUGGAAAAAGACCCAAGCAAAAAGUGCAGCUCUUAGAAAGGUACUUUGAUCCCUUUAAUUGUUUACAUUCGAAACAUGGUGACCACAAAAGAUCAACAAGAAUAACAUAAAUAGGCUAACACACAGAACCAAGGCAAAGAGAAUCAUGCUGACACACAUAACCAAAGUAAAGAAAUCAUGCUAACUCACAGAACCAAAGCAAAGAAAAUCAUGCUAACACAUAGAACCAAAGCAAAGAAAAUCAUGCUAACACAUAGAACCAAAGCAAAGGAAAUCUUAAAAAUCAGGGCUUUAACAGAGUCGAGUUAAAAGAAUUAGGAGCAUUAAAUUGGUCAAAAUAAGCAAGGAAAAAGGUUUAAUCACAAGAAAAUCGGUUAAAAAGGUGUAUAAGGAUCUCCAGAAAAUCCUAGUUUUCAAAGAAAGUAAAAAUGGUUUAAAAUGGAGAUUCUUUUAAAAGAAUUUCGAGAAUAAGCAAAUAGAAGGAAACAUGCUUAAAGUGUAAGAAUAACAUAGACCUGAUAUUAAGAAGAGAGUUAGGAUUUCAAAGGGAAACCCAAAUAAAAAUUGAAAGAACAUGUUGCAAACUUCACCGAUCGUAACAAAUAAGUUGUGAUUUUGCCCAAAGUCACAUCGGAGAAGACAUGAGUAAUAGAAAAAAAACUAUAAGUCCAAAUCGGCAUGGCCUAUGACCCUUGAAGGUCUUAGAGAUGAUGAGGAAGGCGAUGAGAUACUCACUGGAGGCUUGGGUUGAAAGGAUGGUCGUCGGAGAUGACCGGAGAAGGAGGCGAUUGACGGGAUCUAGGGCUAGGUUUGAGAGAUGAGAGAAGAUGAGAGUAUUUGAAGGCGGCGGGGAUUUGGAAAUGUGUAAGGUUAUGGGUCUUUUGGAAAUUAAAAGGAAAAGAUGAAUGAAGGUAGUUGAUCUUUUGGAUCAACGACAAGGAUCUAAGAUAGCUUGGGUCGAGUAAGGAUAACUGGCUUGGGUCGGGUUAUUAACUAGGAAAUUGGGUUGGGGAUUGGGGUCCGAUUUAGCUAGGAUUGAAAGUUAAAUUUGGCUAUUAUUUAAAUAGCUAGUUUUUUCCCAUUUUAAUUUAUAAAAAAAAAUAAUAGGUAAUUUCCGAAAAAUAAUUUAAGGUGCCAAAAAUUUAAAAUGCAUAAUUAAUAUUUUAAAAAUAUAAGAACAAAUUUACGCACAUGAAAUAUAAUUUUAUCUUAAAAGGGCUAAUAAUGCAAUUACAUGCAAUUUAGAUUAAAGAAUACCAAACGUAAUAAUAAAAAUGCAUGAAAAUUAUAUUAACCAUAUUUUGGUAUAAUUAUAGAAAUUAAAUAAAUGAAUUAUCAUAACAAUAAUUUUGGAAAUAAUUAUUGAGGAUUUUAUGAAUAAAAGGGGAGAAAAUAAAUCAAUUUAAACCCUUAAAAUUAUGGAAAAAUAAUAAAAGCCUUGUACAUACUUAUAUAUAUAUAUAUAUAUAUGUAUGUAUAUAUAUAUAUAUGUGUGUAUAUAUAUAUGUAUGUAUAUAUAUAUAUAUGUGUAUAUAUAUAUAUGUAUAUAUAUGUGUGUGUGUGUGUGUGCUAUAUUGAAGGUAUUUAUGUAUAUUUAAAAUACAUAGGAAAAAUUGGGUAUCAACAAUAUGAUAUAUUGCAAGAAUGAAAAUAACAUCGAUUUAAUCCUAACUACACCAAAAAUAGUUGAUUCAAAUUUGGUCAAGUUUUUGGCGAUCGUGUACCGAAUGAUUUGAAAUUUGGUAGGAUCAUCAAAAUGACCUGUUAAGAAGAACUCAUUGUUCUGCAGUGAAUCACAUUGUAUUUCGACGAUUCGAGGUCAUUUAGAUGAGUAUUUUUUGGAGGUUUGACGGAUUAAAAUAUGAUAUACAUAUGAACAGUAAUUAUUUCUAUCAAUUUUUUUAAGUAUAACUGUUAUAUUUCAUUGAUCUCAAAUAAUAUGUACAUCAUAGAGCUCUAUAGUAGUAGUUUGGACUGGCUACUACUCAUUUACAAACUAUCAUCUAUACUAUCAUAGCUAUCUAGACACAAAUGUCAUUACAGUAAGGGAUAUCUAAAUGCUAUAGCUAAGGAAAGCAAUUAAGCUGCCGCAAGCCAGUCUGCCAAUGUUUGUAUUUCUUGCCUCGAAUAUGUAUAAGGCAACUUCUCUGCAAAUCAGUUCCUCCACAAAAGCAGUCCCUUCAAAUCGAAUGCUAUUCCUAACUCUCCAGACGAGGGCAACAAUAGUGACAAAAGCAGAAGCUGUAAUAACAUUUUGCAACAAAUCUCUUUUUUGCUUUGCUGCAAAUCCAGUGAAGUUCUGUGUCCCAGCUACCAACUAUUCUGGAAUGCCUCAGCAAGCAACAUAUUCUUGUCCACAGUCUGUUAGUUAUUGGGCACUCAAAAAUAGGUGAUUGAAUUCUUCAACAUUUUGAUUGCAAAACACACAAGUUGCUGGGACUUGUAUGCCAAUGUUCUGCNNNNNNNNNNNNNNNNNNNNNNNNNNNNNNNNNNNNNNNNNNNNNNNNNNNNNNNNNNNNNNNNNNNNNNNNNNNNNNNNNNNNNNNNNNNNNNNNNNNNNNNNNNNNNNNNNNNNNNNNNNNNNNNNNNNNNNNNNNNNNNNNNNNNNNNNNNNNNNNNNNNNNNNNNNNNNNNNNNNNNNNNNNNNNNNNNNNNNNNNNNNNNNNNNNNNNNNNNNNNNNNNNNNNNNNNNNNNNNNNNNNNNNNNNNNNNNNNNNNNNNNNNNNNNNNNNNNNNNNNNNNNNNNNNNNNNNNNNNNNNNNNNNNNNNNNNNNNNNNNNNNNNNNNNNNNNNNNNNCAGUCAAGUCUAGAAUGUUAAGACCUCCAGCUGAUAUUGGUCUGCACACCUUGUCCCAAGCAACCAGUGCCCUUUUGGAUAGAUUAGCAGUGCCAGUCCAAAGGAAUGUUCUGCAAAUUUCUUCAAUGGCUUUCAGUACUUUCUUGGGUAAAAUGAAUACUUGUGCCCAAUAAGUAUGAAUGCCAAACACCACAGCUUUGAUCAAUUGGCUUCUCCCUGCAUAUGAUAGAAACUUAGCUGACCAGUAAGUAAUUUUAUCUGCUAUCUUUUCAAUUAGGGGCAGAUAAUGAUGGAUAGCCAGAUUUUUAGAAUCAAGUGGUAUCCCUAAGUACUUGAAUGGAAGUUGGCCUUCAGUGAAAAUCCCAAAGUUUCAAUUAUUUCUUCUCUGGUACUUUGCUGCACACCAGCCAGAUAAACUGCACUCUUGCUAAUAUUUGCCUGAAGACCAGAUGCUUCUGAAAACUGAAGGAAAGCUUUCUGCAAGAUCUGGAUAGAUAUAAUAUCAGCUCUACAGAACAUAAGAAGGUCAUCAGCAAAACAAACAUGAGAACAAUUGAGUUUCCUGCAUUUGGGAUGGAAGUUGAAGUUCCCAUCCUUGUGUAACUGAUUCAGGAUUCUGUUUAGGUAUUCCAUAGCCAAUACAAACAAAUAUGGUGACAUAGGUUCAUCCUGUCUAAUACCUCUCUUAGCAGUGAAUGGCUUAGUUAAGCCACCAUUCAUUACUAAGGAGUAGGAGACAGAGGUGACACAAGCCAUUAUCCAGUGAAUAAACUUUGCUGUGAAGCCCAAGUCAAUAAGAAUCUGCUUCAGAAAGCUCCAUUCCAAGGUGUCAUAUGCCUUCCUCAAAUCUACUUUGAGUACACAUCUGGGGGAUACACCUUUUCUUGAGUAACCCUUGAAGAUUUCAUGGCUUAACAAGAUAUUAUCAACAAUACUUCUCCCUUCAAUAAAAGCANNNNNNNNNNNNNNNNNNNNNNNNNNNNNNNNNNNNNNNNNNNNNNNNNNNNNNNNNNNNNNNNNNNNNNNNNNNNNNNNNNNNNNNNNNNNNNNNNNNNNNNNNNNNNNNNNNNNNNNNNNNNNNNNNNNNNNNNNNNNNNNNNNNNNNNNNNNNNNNNNNNNNNNNNNNNNNNNNNNNNNNNNNNNNNNNNNNNNNNNNNNNNNNNNNNNNNNNNNNNNNNNNNNUGAUCAUAUGAGGCAUUUUGCAUGUAGAAAAGAAUUCCUUAGUAGCAGCUAGAAUAUCACCCUUCACCAUCUCCCAGUUUUUAGUAAAGAAUUCCACUGAAAAGCCAUCUACUCCUGGGGUUUUAUCUUUAGGCAUCUCUUUUACAGCUUCAAUGAUUUCUUCCAAUGUAACCUCUCUAAUUAGCAUUCUUUGAUGUGCUAGAUUUAAGCACUGUCCCUCUUUUAUUAUUUCAGAAUUGACACAAGGGAUUUCAACACCACACUCCCCCAUUAAUGAUUGAAAUACCUUUAUGAACUCCUGUUCCACAGAUAAAGGGUCAGUGACACAAGGGAGUUCAGCAGCACACUCCCCCAUCAAUGAUUGGAAUACCUUUAUAAACUCCUGUUCCACAGAUAAAGGGUCAGUAAGUUUCAAACCUGUGUCAGUAUAGAUGGAUGUGAUGUUGUUCUGGCCUGUUCUAAUCUUCCACUGAGCAUGGAAAUACUUUGUGUUAGCAUCCCCACAAUCAAUUCAGCAAGCCUUGGAUUUCUGCCUCAGAAUUUGUUCCUCCACACAACUCUACUUCUCAAUUUCUUCAAGUGCUGCUUUUUCCUCAGUAAAUAAUAAUUGUGUUAAUGGGCUGUUCUACAGUUGAGUUUCAAUAAUACACAAUUUUAUCCUUGCCUGAAUAAGUUUCUUCUUGUAUGAGGCCAUAUGAACAUUUGUCUCCUUUAAAUGCUGUUUCAUGGCCUUCAAUUUACUCCAUAUCUGCUGCAUAGGUGUUCCUUAACAUUCUUGUAUCCUUUAAAUGCUGUUUCAUAGCCUUCAAUUUUCCAUAUCUGCUGCAUAGGUGUUCCAUCACAAUCAUGUCUCGAAACAUGCUGUAAAAUGCUAUGAAACUGAGGUUGUUCCAUAAUAGCUAGGUAUAGUCUGAAAGGUUUAGGGUGCAGUGGUUUUUGAUCUCCAAAUUUGAUAAGAAUAGGGGAACGAUCAGAGACUGAAGGAUUCAUGAAGUCAGCUUCCAAGUGCCCAUACUGUUGUAACCACUGAAAAUUGCCCAGAGCCCAAUCAAUUUUACUAUAAACUCUAGUGGAAGUACCUUGCUUAUUGGUCCAAGUGUCAUGCCAAGCUUUAACUCUAAGAGCAGUGAGUUGCAGGUCAGUGAUAGUAUCUUUGAAGUCUUUCACUUCAGCAUCAGUAACUGGAGAGCCAUUCUGUCAUCAGUACAUAAGACACAGUUAAAAUCCCCACUGAGCAGCCAAGCAUCUUGACUGGGAACAUAGAUUGACCUUAAGUCACUCCACAGUUGAUUCCUGAGGUUUGCAGUAUUAUGGGCAUAUAUAACACUUAAAUGAGUUCUGGAUUGGCUAAUAGUAUCUUCUAAAAAACAUUGAAUGAGUUGAUCAGUCACAUAGGAUAUUUGGAUCAGGAUAUGUGGUUUCCAAAGCAACUAUAUUCUACCAUUUGCAGCCUUUGAGUAAUUGCAUUGAACCUUCCAAUCCUUAGCAACCUUAUCAAGUAUCUUCCUAGCUUUAUGCUUCUUUACUCUAGUUUCAAGACAUCCCAUAACAUCUACUUUAUUAACAUCAAGAAAGUUUUUCAACUCCUUCUGUUUAUGGGCUUGAUUAAGCCCCCUAAUGUUCCAAGUGACAAUAAUCAUAGGAGAUUAGGGGGUGAUCUGUGUGAAGGCCCCGGGUCAAUCUGUUGAACCAUGUUGCCAGCCACAACAAUAGUAGCCUUCCCUUUAUUGCAAUUAUCAACCAUUACUUCACUGUUACCAUUGGGUGCAUUGACUGCAAUCUCAAGCCUCUCUUGGAUAUCAGGUCCAGUUUGUGCAUUCUGCUGAACACUAGCUAAAUAAGAGAGGUUCUCAUUCUCCUUGUUAGGUUCCUGCACUUCCUGUACUACUGAAUUGACUGCAAUCUCAUGGCUUACCCGUACUUCUGCAUUAGCUACAGGCUGCUUGACAAGCCAUUCUUGUUUAGUAUUGUUUGCCUGCUUCUUCAAUUUCCCUCUCUGCCUCCUUGGUUUACCCUGCUCCUCCAUAUCCUUCUCUGCAUUGUUAUCAGCAUAGUACCAGCAAUCCAAAGAAUCAUGCCCAAAUUUCAGACAAUGAUUACAGAAAAUAGGCUUCCAAUCAUACUCAAUUACCUGAACAAAUCAUGUCCAAAUUUCAGGCAAUGAUUACAAAAACUAGGCUUCCAAUCAUACUCAAUUGCCUGAAUCUUAGGGCCAUAAGGAGUUUCAAUCUCUUAUUGGUCAGGGAGUGGAUGGGCAGCAUCAACCUCCACUAGGACUCAGGCAAACGAUAUUUUCUCAUAGUGUGCAGUAAAUUUAUCAGUGCAUAAUGGCUUACCCACUGCACUGUCCAUUUUGCUCAAUACUUCAAUAGACCAGUAGCCCACCGGAAGUCCAGGAAAACGAAUCCAUACAGGGACAGUACUGAGAAUAUCACUUUGAAAAGAGAAAUCAACUUCCAAGGGCUUCAAAACCACUGGUUUAUUCCUAUAGGAAUAAGGUCCAAAUUGCAUGACUAAAUCCCUAUCCUCGAUACUAUUGAAUCGAAAAAAACAAUAGCCUUCAGUAUGAAUUAGGACCUGGGGUUUAGCCACGAAAUUCCACACAUGCAUGACGAAAUUAUCCAUAGUUUUCUCAUUCGGAUUAUCACCAAUUAUAUAGCCAAUUAAAGCAUUUUUCUAAUAAUCCACUUGAGAUUUCAAAUCGUCCUCACUGAUUUUAACAACCUUCUUGCCAUCUCGGUCAGUGGGGGGAACGAACGAGAGUGGCUUGCCCAUUUGAGUAUUACGGUUUCCUCGCACAACUUUAGCUGCAGUCGGAAUUGAUUUUUCCGAUCCACUGGCAUCAGAGAACUGUCGUCGUCUUACAGCGAUGUUAGUAGGUGCUUCGGUCUUCGGAGGUGGCAAUUCAUUCAUAUCACCCUCUGCAUGCAUCACCUCUGUCGAUUGGAAUUUCUGGGGCAGAAAAUUGCCAAAUGUUAAUGGUUCGAGCUCCUUUGUAAUGCCAUGAUCAGGAGUAACUAUUUGCGCAAUACUGAGCGGUGCAUUUCGCCGGCAACGAGCCAUUGUUCCGGCGACAAUGGCGAUCCUGCUAUUGUGCGCCGAGAGAGAAUUUGGUGUGGCAAGUUCUCCUCAACUCGCUUAGCGAUCCUGCUAUUGUGCGCCGACAGAGAAGGCUCUGUGCUGGAGAACUUAUUUCUUGUAUUCCUUUUUACUUAUUUCUAUCAUUUUAUUUAUGUCUAAUCUGUAACAUGAUAAAGCAUACAGAUUCGACAUGAAUUGGUAUAUGAUAAGAAUGCAGGUCAUAUUUUAAAUUCUUAAAAAAAAAUAAAAUGAAUUUGGUUGCAAUUUUGGGAUAUUAUGAUUUUAACGAUCCGCGAUUGAUAUGAUAUUUGGCAGGUUUAUCAAAAAAUAGCCAGUGAACAAUACUCACUGCUAUGUAGUAAAAAAUGUUAAUUUUAGCGCUUUAAGACUAUUUAAUUUGGGUAUUGAGCAUUUUUUUAAUUAUGAAACUUAAUCCCCGGAGAAAAGUUCAUGGUUGUGAUAAAAUGGUUAUAGGAAUUAACUCUUUUGAUAUCUAUUUUUUUUAAUUUAUAGUGAAAUAAUAAAUUUACCUGUAGACAUUAGGUCUUCCUCCAUAUCGAAUAAAUUUAUUUUGAACUCACUGAAUAUAGUUACUAGUUAUUGAUAACUUGUAUUAACUCUCUAUCUAAGUUUAAAGGGUUGAAUCAAUUUUAUAACUCAAAUACAAUCAUGAUUAAGUAGUGAUAGAAUUAUAUAUUUAUGGUUUCUCACAAUUAAUUUCAAGUGAGUAAUAAAUUUAUACGCUGACUUUAGGUUUUCCUCCAUAUCGGAUAAAUUUAUGUAAUCUCACUAGGUUAAAUAUAGUAAUUAAUAUCGUGUACUUACUCUCCAUCAUGAGUAUACAUGUUGGACCAAUGGAACUAGAGAUAUUAACUAUGAUGUUAACUGACUUAAUAGUAUACUCUCCAUCUGAGUUGUGUCUGUUUUAAUUAUUGGAGUGGAUAUCUGGCAUUACAUAUGUAUGUUGCAUGAGUAGUUCUUUUACAUAUCUAACUUCUUAUGAGAGACUUUAUUAAGAAUAUAGCAUGCAGAUAAAAUAGCUUUCUCCCACAUAUUAUUAUAUAAACCUGAACUCAAAAGCAUAAAAUUUAUCAUUUCCUUAAGGGUUCUAUUUUUUCGUUCGCUUACACCUUUUGUUGGGGAGUAUAGGGAGCACUAAUCUCAUGAAUAAUACCAUGAGUCGGAUUACGACAAGGAAGGAUCAUGGGAUGAAAUCAGUAAAGAGUUAGCCAAUUUGAGGAGAAACCCAAACCAAACCUGAGAGAUACAGAGGCAGUCAAUUUAGGGAGCCCGAGUAAUAUUACAAAAACAAAAAUAAGUGUCCGUCUGGAGUCAACUUAGGAAAGAAAUAAUUGGAGUACUGCUUGAAUACAAAGAUGUCUGCAUGGUCAUGCAAUGAUAUGCCCGGAUUGAGCACUAACUUGGUGGUUCACAAGCUUCCCACUGACCCAGCCUGUACUCCUGUCAAAUAAAAGUUGAGAAAGUUUAAAAAUGAUGUGAGCGUGAAAAUCAAAGAGGAAGUGACCAAGCAAUUUGAUGAAAAAGUUAUCCGAGUCACACGAUAUCCCAUAUGGUUAGCUAAUGUUGUGCCCGUACCAAAGAAGGAUGGUAAAAUCAGGGUGUGUGUCGAUUACCGGGACCUCACCAAAGCAAGUCCAAAGGACAACUUCCCCCUGCCGAACAUUCACAUAUUGAUUGUAAAUUGUGCAAAGCAUGAGAUCAGGUCAUUCGUGGAUUGUUAUGAAGGUUACCACCAGAUCUUAAUGGAUCAAAAAGAUGCAGAGAAAACAACAUUUAUCACAUCGUGGGGAAGAUAUUGCUAUAGGGUCAUUUCUUUUGGUUUGAAGAAUGUCGGAGCGACAUAUAUGAUGGCAAUGACAACCAUUUUCCACGAUAUGAUGCAUAAAGAAAUUGAGAACUAUGUGGAUGAUGUGAUUGUGAAGUCCAGAAAGCAAUCCGAUCAUGUCAAACAUCUAAGUAAAUUCUUCUAGAGGCUCCGCAGGUAUGCUCUCAACCUUAAUCCGGCAAAAUGCGCAUUUGGGGCCCCCUCAGGGAAGUUUCUAGGGGUCAUAGUCAGCCGACGAGGCGUUGAACUAGAUCCAUCAAAGAUCAAAGCUAUAUAGGAAUUACCGCCACCGAGGAACAAAACAGAGGCGAUGAGUCUAUUGGAAAGAUUGAAUUAUAUCAGUCGGUUCAUUGCUCUGCUCACCACCAUCUGCGAGCCCAUAUUUAAGCUACUUAAAAAGGAUGUUGUGGUGAAAUGGAUGGGAGAGUGCCAAGAGGCUUUUGAUAAGAUAAAGGAAUAUUUGUCGAAUACACUAGUGUUGGCCUCGCGGGAACAAGGAUGGCCCUUGAUAUUAUAUUUGACAGUCUAUGACAAUUCCUUUGGAUGCAUGUUGGGUCAGAACGAUGUCACCGGGAGAAAAGAUCAUGCUAUAUACUACCUUAGCAAUAUAUUCACGGCCUAUGUGGUUAAGAAGGCCCUUGAUCUUAUAUUUGACAGUCUUGGAUUAUUAAUUGGACGUGUGUUGGGUCAACACAAUGUCACCGGGAGGAAAGAGCAAGCCAUAUACUACCUUAGCAAGAAAUUCACUGCCUAUGAGGAUAAGUAUACUCAUCUUGAAAGGACAUGUUGUGCCUUGAAGUGGGUAGCCAAAAAGUUGAAACAUUACUUGUCAUCAUAUACCACUUAUCUAAUCUCACGUCUGGACCCAUUGAAGUACAUUUUCCAGAAGCCCAUGCCAAUAGGAAGGCUCGCGAAAUGGAAAAUCUUACUUACUGAGUUUGACAUUAUCUAUGUGACUAGGACUGCAAUGAAAGCACAUGCAUUAGCUAAUCAUUUAGCUGAGAAUCUGAUAGACGAAGAAUAUGAUCCCUUGAACACAUACUUACCGGAUGAGGAAGUGAUGCAUAUUGAUGAAGUGGAACAGGUUGAGCAGUCAGGAUAAAACUUAUUCUUCGAUGGGGCUGCCAACAUGAAAGGCAUCAUGAUAGGAGCAGUGCUCAUUUCUGAAGAAGGGCAUCACUACCCAGUCAUAGCUCAACUCUGCUUCUAUUGCACCAACAACAUGGCAGAAUAUGAAGCAUAUAUUUUGGGUCUGAGAUUGGCAGAAGACAUGGGUGUCCAUGAAGUUUUGGUCUUGGAAUACUCGGACCUAUUGGUACACCAAAUUCAAGGGGAGCGGGAAACAAGAGAUUUAAAACUCAUACCAUACCGUCAAUGCUUGCAUGAUCUUUGCCAACGAUUCUGGUCGAUAGAGUUUAGGUAUAUCCCCAGAAUUCACAAUAAGGUUGCUGAUGCCUUAGCUACUUUGGCGUCAAUGUUACAUCAUACGGACAAGGCUUAUGUUGACCCGAUACAUAUCCGGGUCCAUGAACACCAUGCUUAUUGCAACAUGGUAGAAGAAGAGCUUGACGCUGAGCCUUGGUUCCACGAAAACAAAGAAUAUAUCAGGAGAGGUGUGUACCCGGUACAAGCCACAAUCGACCAAAAGAGAACAAUUCGUCGUUUGUCAAGUGGAUUUUCUUCAGUGGAGGAGUAUUAUACAAAAGGAUCUGGAUAUUGGUUUGCUAAGAUGCGUAGAUGUUGGGCGGGCGACACCCAUCAUGAAUGAGGUGCAUGCUGGCGUCUGAGGGCCACACAUGAGUGGAUAUGUUUUGGCAAAGAAGAUUCUUAGGGCGGGAUAUUAUUGGCUCACCAUGGAGCGGGAUUGUAUCAGCUUCGUGCUCAAAUGUCACCAAUGUCAGGUGCAUGGAGACUUAAUUCACUCCCCAACAUCUGAAUUGCAUACGAUAUCUGCACCAUGGCCUUUCGUUGCUUGGGGCAUGGACGUCAUCGAGCCCAUCAAUCCAGAAACUUCUAACGGACACAGGUUCAUCCUGGUUGCUAUUGACUAUUUUACGAAGUGGGUUGAAGCUAAGACCUUCAAGCCAGUGACCAAGAAAGCCGUGGUCGACUUUGUACAUGCAAAUAUCAUUUGUCGGUUUGGAAUCCCCAAGAUUCUCAUCACUGAUAAUAGGGCAAAUCACAACACUCACUUGAAGAAAGAGGUAUGUCAGCAGUUCAAGAUCACACAUCGAAAUUCCACCCAAAGAAUCCCCAAGAUUCUCAUCACUGAUAAUGGGGAAAAUAUCAAUAGUCACUUGAUGAAAGAGGUAUGUCAGCAGUUCAAGAUCUUACAUCAAAAUUUCACCCUGUACCUCCCCAAGGAGAAUGGAGCGGUCGAGGCAGCCAAUAAGAACAUAAAGAAGAUACUUCGUAAAAUGGUGAUCCAGGCAGUGACAUGAGAUGUUACCCUUUGCGUUGUUAGGCUAUCGCACUACCGUCCGCACCUCGGUAGGGGCAAACCCAUAUUUGUUGGUAUACGGCACAAAAGUAGUAACCCCGGCUCAAAUCAAAAUCCCUCCCUUCGGAUCGUGACUGAAGUAGGAAUCGACGACAAAGAAUGGGUUAAAACUCGUUAGGAGCAAUUAAGUUUGAUUGAUGAGAAAAUAUUGGCAGCGGUGUGUCAUGGCCAGUUGUAUAAAUAGAGGAUGGACAGAGCAUAUAACAAGAAAGUGCGUCCAAGAAAGUUUGAAGUAAGUCAAUUAGUGUUGAAACACAUCCACCCUCACCAGGCCAAGGCAAAGGGAAAGUUCGCUCCAAACUGGCAAGGACCGUUUGUUGUGUAAAGAGUAUUGUAUGGGGCAUUGUACCUAACAGAUGUGGAAGGAAAAUGUGUAGAAAUGGCUAUCAAUUCAGAUGCAGUCAAAAUAUAUUAUGUAUGAUUUUCUUUUGUUUGAAUCAUUGUCUAUACUUGGCGUUUGUUUGUACUUCGCAUGUUUUAGAGAUUGAAUUGAUGAAGGCAUUGUAUUUAGCUAUCUAAACACUUUACCCUUUGUUAACCCUCUUGAGCUUCAAUUAUUUUCUUACAUACCCCUCUUUCGGAAUCAGUGAUGAAAGUCGAAAGUACAAUCAUAAGAAGGCAGUGAAAGGACAAGAACGAAAGGAGAAAGGAAAGCAAAACAAAGGAAGAAAAAUAAGAAAGAAAAGAAAAGAAAAUAAAAGAAAGAAAAAAAGAAAAAAAAGAGAAAAGCAAGAAAAAAUCAGCAGAAAAAAGAAAAAAAGAGAGGAAAACAAACGAUUGUGAAAGUAAAGAAUCAGUAGGAACUACGUUUGACCUGAUUCCUUUUAAAGAUACGUAGGCAGCUUUAUGCCUCGAUCAUAUUCAAAUAAAAUCCAAAGGCCCCAAGCAAGAAACUGGCAGAAACUGCGCUUGUUAUAAUAAAUUGAAUUCCGAAAGUUGUAAGUUGUAAACCCAUAAGAGUGAUUUUUGAGCCUUUUAUACCCAUUUCUUUCUAACCUUCAUCCAAAAGCCUACAUUACAGCCGACAGGAAGACCUUCUGAUCAAUCUCUAAGACAUGCCAGAACAAGCAAGGAGAAGUGGACCAUACCUCGGGACGACACUCUAGUUCUUGCAAAAAAUAAUAAAAUGAGGGAGUCUUAUUGGUGAAAACCCUCACGGGCACCAUAAGGCGACGAGAGUUUGAGAGAAAUAAAGAUGAGAGAGUGUUAUUGGUGAAAACCCUUGCGGGCACCAUAUGGCGACAAGAGUUGAGAGAAAUAAAAAUGAGAGAGUCUCAUUGGUGAAAACCCUCACGGGCACCGUGAGGCGAAGGUAAGGCAAGAAGCAACAACUGGAAAGGGGUUGUUGGUGGAAAUCUAUUUAGAACACCGUAAGGCAAGCAUAUCUAGGGUUUGGUUGAAGGAAUCGGGUCAAAAAUCGUCACAACAACAAAAGCAUGGUAAUAGAAGGCUAGUCAUCAGAACAGACUGGGUCGACUAAGCCGAAGAGCAUGUCAUGAUCACGAAAAACCAGCUGCCCUUCCUCAAUUAAAAUUCCUUUCUCUUCCUUUCAACGGUCAGUGAAUGUGGAAUUCUUUACCUUAAAUACAGUUCUGAGUCAUUACAUUUUAUUUUUCUUUCGAGUCUCUAAUGUCUUUUGUUUGAGUAUACGAGAGAAAUUUCAAAGCCUAUUAUCAGCUCCCAAAGGGACAAAGCGCAUGACAUCCAAAAACGUAACGAAGGCAACAAAGUUUGAAAAGCAAGGGGAGAGAGUCAGAAGAGCUUCAAUGAUAAACUUGAUUGAAGAGACAAAGUUUGGUAAAGUGAAGGAGCACAACAUAAAGAUGGGGAAGCAAAGUAAAACCAUGAGGGUCAGGGGGCGGCCGAACACAACACACUGACCGAGUAAUCUCAAAAAGGAUGCAAGGAUUUUAGCAAAAGAAUCAAAAGCGCAACACGAAGUAGGAAGGGCCACAAGGAAUAACCAAGCGUAACAUGUCGACUCAGCAACCUCAGGAAAGGAUGUAAGAAUUCUAGCAAGAGGGUCAGAAGUGCAACAGAAGCAUGGGAAAGUAGAGUAGAGCCACAAGGGUCAGAGGGUCAGCCAAGCAUAAUACAUUGACUUGGUAAUCUCGAGAAAGGUGNNNNNNNNNNNNNNNNNNNNNNNNNNNNNNNNNNNNNNNNNNNNNNNNNNNNNNNNAGGGUUAGAGGGUCAGCAAAACAUAAUACAUUGACCUGUUAAUCUUGGGAAAGGUGCAAUAGUUUGGGCAAAAGGGUUAGGAAUGCAACACAGUAAUGGGCAAGCAAAGUAAAGCCAUAAAGGUUCGGGGGUUAGCCAAUAGCCUCAGGCAACUCAUCAUCAACAUGGAAAUUUGAACACAACGAAACACGACAGUGAGGAGGCCGCUUCCAACAAGAGUGACUCCAGCUAACCACCGUUUUUCAAACUGACAAGUUUUCUUUGAUUGACACGGGGGCAGAAAAAUUCCGGAAGAUCCUAGGGGAGGCGAUCCACAGGGGAAGGCAGGCACUUGGAAGGUAUGACCAAAACCUCAAGGCACAUAGUCUGUCAUAAAUGUUCUCCCCAACAAGAGUAUAUUGGGACCAACUUUAAUUAGCAAACCCCAACAGAAACAACUGAGGGUUAAAAGGGGCGUGGAAAUUGAAAUAGGCCUCAUUUUAAAAACCCAGACAUGCAUGGGUAACAGGGGUAGGCACAAACAACUUCCCCGAUAAGAGUCACUGAAACCCUCCUGAACAAUGAUCAUUAGCAGGAACAACCAUAAGUUAGAGUUGGCAUUUAAGUAGGAACCCUCAGGACCCUCCUAGAAAAUGAGACAUAUUUAAAGUUUAGAGGUAGUCAUGGAUAACAAAAAGCAUAAAGUGACUUGCAUAGGAUUGAAGUAGAGGUUGUCAGGACCCUCCUGAAAAAUGGGACUUAGCCUAGAACACAAAAAGUUGGGUGGCAUGGUCAAACCCAAAUGCUUCUCCAAUGAGAGUCAUCAGGAUCCGCCUGGAUAAUGGGAUUUAAUCGUAGAAGUUGCCAAGACCCAUUGGAUAAUGGGACGUAGCUCUAAAUACUAACCCCCAACAGACACAUUUGGUCAUCUAACUAAGAGUUGGAAGGACCCGCCUGGAUAAUGGGAAGUAUUUUUAAUCACCAAUCACCAGCAGAUCUCCACCAUAUAUAACUCAUAACGAGACAGUGGAAAAUAAUACCUUUUGAGAAAACAUAACAUAAUCUUAAAGUUGUCGCCAAUUAGGAAUUGUCAGGACCCUCCUGGAUAAUGGGACUUAGCUUUAGAGAUACUCGGUAAGGAGAUUUGAUUAAAACUCACAGAUCCGCGCAGCAUCAAACUGGAGCAGAAAGGAUUUCUUGUGUUUUGUUUGUUUUGUUGUGAUCAGGUACACAUGCAGCAGUCUCAGGGAAUACUUUUCAAGUUUCAAGUUUUGGUAAUCAUGUGCCCACCUGUCAGAACAAGGAAUAUUUUUCAAGUUUCAAGUUUUGGUAACCAGGCGCCCACUUGUCAGAACAAGGGAAUAUUUUUCAAGUUUCAAGUAUUGGUAACCAGGAACCCACAUGUCAGAACAAGGGAAUAUUUUUGAAGUUUCAAAUUUUGGUUAUCAGGCGUCCACCUAUCAGAACAAGGGAAUAUUUUUCAAGUUUCAAGUUUUGGUAAUCAGGCGUCCACCUGUCAGAACAAGGGAAUAUUUUUCAAGUUCCAAGUUUUGGUAAUCAGGCGCCCACCUGUCAGAACAAGGGAAUAUUUUUAAAGUUUCAAGUUUUGGUAAUCAGGCGCCCACCUGUCAGAACAAGGGAAUAUUUUUCAAGUUUCNNNNNNNNNNNNNNNNNNNNNNNNNNNNNNNNNNNNNNNNNNNNNNNNNNNNNNNNNNNNNNNNNNNNNAAGGGUAUAUUUUUCAAGUUUCAAGUUUUGGUAAUCAAGCGCCCACCUGUCAGAACAAGGGAAUAUUUUUCAAGUUAUAAAUUUUGGUAAUCAUGCACCCACCUGUCAAAAUAAGGGAAUAUUUUUCAAGUUUCAAAUUUUGGUAAUCAGGCGCCCACCUGUCAGGAUAAGGGAACAUUUUUCAAAGUUUCAAAUUUUGGUAAUGAGGCUCCCACCUGUCAGAACAAGGGAAUAUUUUUCAAGUUUCAAAUUUUUGUAAUCAGACGCCCACCUAUCAAAAAAAGGGAAUAUUUUUCAAGUUUCAAGUUCUGGUAAUCAGGCGCCCACCUGUCAGAACAAGGGAAUAAUAUUUAAGUUUCAAGUUUUGGUAAUCGGGCGCACACUUGUCAGAACAAGAGAGUAUUUUUUAAGUUUCAAGUUCUGGUAAUCAAGCGCCCACCUGUCAGAACAAGGGAAUAUUUUUUUUAAAGUUUAAGUUUUGGUAAUCAGGCGCCCACCUGUCAGAACAAGGGAAUAUUUUUCAAGUUUCAAGUUUUGAAAAUCAGGCGCUCACUUGUAGAACAAGGGAAUGUUUUGCAAGAUUCAAGUUUGGCAAUCAUGUGCCCACCUGCAGAACAAGGGAAUACAUUUCAAGUCCAGCGAUUCGACAUCAGACAUAGAAAAACAGAAAAUAAGAAGUCAACAAGACAACAAGGAGUUUACAGGGAGAAAUAUCAAUCAAUAAGGCAACGAGGAGUUUACAGGAAGAAACACAAGGCAACAAGGCAAUAAAGAUCAAGAACAAGAUUGAAGACGUAGAUUGGUUCUUUUGUAAUCCGUAGUUCAUAGCUUAGUUUAGCUUCUUCAUUUUUCACAAGGUGUGAUAAGGGGGUCUAGUAGUAGUAGUAGCAGCAGCAACAACAGUAGUGAAAUCACAGCCCAAAACACUCCAGAACUACACUGACCAGAUUCCUUUAUAGCCAAGGAUAUGUAGGAAACCUUUGAAGCAGGGUUCGGCCAGACAGUUUUCAAAAAUGCUUCUCAUGGAAUGCCAAUCAGGCAAAAAUCCUUCAGUUGCUCAUUUAUCUUUGCCCGCCGUGUCUCCGAGCAAAGAGGGACAACAAUGAUCACGUGAUUUUUGCCUCGCUCGAAAUGUUCCUAUAGAAUUCAUUAUAAUUAGGAUUUUUUUUCUUUUAUUAUUUGCAUUUUAGGAAUUAAUUGCAUGAUUUUGUGUUUAUUUGCAUUUUUUGUGCAUUUUAAAUUGAUAUAACUCAUAAAAAUACAAAAAUAACAUGUUUGCAUUUAGGACUUAGUUUUUAUAUUUUUAGUUAGUUAAUUAAUAUUGAAAAAUAAGGAAAAAAUAACAAAAAUGGUCAUUUUUAUAUUUGUUUAGUUUUUCUUUUUAAUUUGGGAUUUAGGUUAUUUUAGAAGUUAAUUAGUUUAUUUUGUAAAUUUUAAACUUGGCUUGUCUAUUUUUGUUUUAUAAUUAAUAGAAUCUGCAAAACAAAAUAAAAAGAGAACUAAUUAAAAACAAAAAAAGAAGAGAAAAGAAGGAAGUGUAAAAUUGGGCCACUUUACAUUUGGAUAUCCAUCCCAAACCCUUCAAACCAACCCCAAACCCGCUCCAAAUGGGUGACGCUUGAGACUACAUCGUUUUCUCAUAAUCAAUCAUGACCGUUGAUGAUGCCUAAUCGAACGGGCGAGAACUGCCUAGGUUACAACUAUAUAAAUGUCGGAUGCCACCCCAUACCCCUCCAAACCAUCUCUCAAUCACCCUUGACCUGCUGAUGUAACGCCAUCGUAAAAUCACUGCUCCUCCACCAUCCGUCGCAGGCUGGAAAUCGCCUCCGCAAGCGGCCGGUCUCUAAUCGAUACCAAAUUAACACCAUUUGUUCCUCUUCUCCUCCUCUUUCUAAUAACCCAAGCCCCCAAGCCCCAAACUUCGAAUCCUAGACAAUAUUUUCGAAUAUCGGUUUAAAGAUUUGGCUGCUCCGCCGUCCACGGCUCCAAUGGCCACAAAAAACACACCAUAAGUUCCCCUUUGCCUCCUCAACCCAAAACUGAACCCCACUUCCUUUGAAUCACCCUCAAACGUCUCGAAUUUCAGAUCGAAACACUAACCCAAACCCUAAAGUUUCAAAAUGACCUGAGUUCGUUCAAUUUUGGAUUAUAAUGGUCCUUCGUCUUGUGUUUCUCAUAGUAACACACGAUUAAGGACAAUUGCAGUCCAGAUUUUGCAAAGCUUGGCCAGAAUUCCCUUUGUUCGAUUAUCUGAGGUAUUUCUACCAUUUUUUCUGUUUUGUUGUUAUAGUUCUUUUUUAGUACUUGUUCAUCCAAAAUUGAUAGGUUUCUUAGUGAUUUUCUAUUUUUAUCUUUUGUUUUGUUUUGGUUUAGUUGUUCGUUUGAUUAAUCAUGUUUUAGGGGGGUUUUAUGUUAGUUCGAAUUGUUUAGAUUCAGUGUUAUUUGGCUAGGUUCUGAUUUCUCAAGUUGUUAUUCAAUUUUCAUUUUUCUUCUUGUUGUUAGUUUUGUUUCAGUCAUGGAUCCCCUGCCUGUUAUUAGUUAGAUCUCGCUCAGUUAAAUUGGUUUUGGUUAUGGCUGAUAAUCCUCGUUUAAGGGUAAAAUAAUUUGAGGUUUAGUUAAUGCAGAAUUUGUAAUUUUAGACCCUUCAAGAAAGGGGGUUAAAGUUACAAUUCUAAGACAUUAAUGUUAAAACUUGAGUCACAAGUCAGAAAAAGAGGGGUUGGUUGAGUAAAUCUGAGAAAUAAGAAGAAGGACUAAGGGGGUAAACACAAGAAAAAGGGUUGACCUAGGUGUUGGAUAUAAAAGGGCACCCUAAUGCCUUCAUUCACAAGGUUUUAGAGGCUGAAAAAUUCUGAAAAUUCCUAAAAGACUUCCAAGAACUCUAAAAUUCCAGCAAUUUUAAAAUUCCAAAAGGUCCAGGUCUGAAAUUUAGUCACUGCAAUUCAAAUUCAAAGAAAACAGAAAUGUUGUUUAGCUUGAACACCUGAAAGUUUCCAUUCAAAAUUAAGUCCUUUAGAUCCUACUCUGGUGUGAUACUUACAUAAUUUAGCUUAGGAUUUGGAUAUUGAAGCUUUCCUGGGUCUUUUGCUUGGUUCCAUUUCAAGUGAUUUAAGCUCAAUUAAGGGCUAUUUUGAGUUUAUCCUGGGUUGAGGCAAUUUUAGUUCUCAAAUUGAUCCUUUGUUUGUGUGUUGAUGUUGGGUUUUUACUGCUGAGCUACUAUUGAUUCCACCUUUCUCCUUUGCUUUAUUGUAAAUUUCAUGUACACGUCUUAAGGUUGCCGUGAUGUAGUUAUUUGAAUUGAAAUAGAAGGAAAGCAUUGCUUCCUGAUUUAUGCUCACUUGGACAUGGAAUGGUUAUAGCUAGAUAUGAGAUAAUAUAUGGUUGUUUAUGUAGUUUAAUUUAUUUAUUUUGGUUUGUAUAUAUUAGAUAGGUGAUAAUAUAUGUAUGUUUAGGUGGUUUAGUCUAUUUCUUUUGGUUUGUAUAUAUAUAAAUCUGGACUGUAUAACUUGCUUCCAUUUCGUUAUAGUUUGUAAUGGUGAAACUGACUAGUGUAAUUCUAGGGUAAGUCAAGUCUAUUUAAGGGUUUGAAAUCUGCUAACCGCCAAUAGAAAAUCAGUAAUGUAGUGUAGAUUCAAGCAUGAAAGGUAGAUUUAAAAUUAGUAUGUGAGCAAAGUUGAACUGUUCAUAUGUUAUUUCUGAGAAUUAUUAUGUUUUAUUGUGAUUUGAGUUCAUGACUUUCUGGGCUCCGCCUAAAGCCAAUGACUGGCCCGGGCUCAUAGUGUUCGCCAACCAGAACAUGCCGCCCAAAUGAUUUGGGAUUGGGCGAACUUGGAGGCCCAAAAUGAGAUUCAGCUUUACAACUGAAGCUCCGUUACACCUAGUUAAAUUCCAAAGUUCAAACGGAUAGGCAUUGAGCCUCAUAUUCACGUCCCACAGUGUCAUCCCAUAGAAUCAAUGCAUUUGUUAAGUUGUGGACAGCUAGGGACAAUUCCAAAUCGGGUUCCUGCCUUGGGUAUAACUGUAACUAAUAAACAACACUAUAUAAUCAGUCCUUUGGAGAUGAGUUCAAUAAUAGCUUGCUUUAUAAUUGGCCUUCAAAAUAAUAAAUUGAGGCGCACUCUGCCGAACAAAAUAACAAUUGCAUGGCCCUCGAUUUUAUCUUUAAUUUAUACUUAGAACUCGAGACGAGCCGUUUAGCAAAUUUUCGCAGCCUCUCGCAAAGUUAAUAAUGCGUAGCUACUUUAGGCGCGUGUUUAAUAAUAUUACUUUCCUAAAUUCAGGUGCACGUUUAUGUGACCCAAAUCCAAAUCUCAACGAAGUUGAAAUGUGUCAAAAAUUACGAGUGCAUUUAUCUGACGUAGUUCGAUGCAUGUUUUAACGACGUUGCAAUUCUCUUUAAAAAUAGUAAUAAAAGGGGCUAGAAGUUAAAUUUUUCACAUAGGUUCAUAAUGUUUUAAAAUAAGAUUUAAGACAAAUAUUACAGUUGAGCGACCGUGCUAGAACCACGGAACUCGGGAAUGCCUAAUACCUUCUCGAAGGGUUAACAGAAUUCCUCACUCGGAUUUUUGGUUGGCGGACUGUUAAACAGAGUCAUUCCUUUCUCGAUUCGGGAUUUAAAUAAUUGAAUCACGUUUCGAUUGUCCUUUAAUUGGAAAAACUCACUUAUCUACGCCCUUUCCGGGAUUGUAGUAGCCAAAAGGAGAUGUGACAAUAGUGCAGAGUGUAGUAUCAGCACAACCGACCCUAUGUGAUGGUAAGUGCCUAGCCUAACCUCGUCAAUGUAAUGACGAGGCUAGGACCAAGCUACCAAAUAUACCUGUGCAGUUAUAUGAUAUAUAGCGAAAAGUAAAGCAAAAAUAAACAAGUAAGGAUGGAAGGGGAAAAACAUGCUUCGGAAAAUAACAUGUAAGAAUAGAUUAUCAAAAGAACUAUAAAGAAAUCAAAAUCCAACCUCUAACAAAAGUAAGAAAAUAACGACUGAUUUCACUUUCUUUUCACAUCUUGUGGUAAGCGUUCCACCAACUCCCUUUUCCUUAUAUCUUGUACACCCACUCCCAUUUUAUUAUAUCUUGUUGCGGCAUGCAACCCGAUCCAUAUAUAAUAUUGUUGCAGCGUGCAACCCGAUCCAUAUAUAUAAUAUUAUUACGGCGUGAAACCCGAUCCAUGUAUAAUAUUAUUGCGGCAUACAACCCGAUCCAUAUAUAUAAUAUUAUUGCAGCCUGCAACCGGAUCCAUAUAUUAUAUUGUUGUGGCGUGCAAGCGAUCUAUAUAUAAUAUUAUCGUGGCGUGCAACCUGAUCCAUGUAUAUAAUAUUUGAAAUUAUAACAAGAGUCCGGGCGAGGGAUCAAUAAGGUGUACACUAUCCCGGAAAUGGAGAAACAGCUAUAACCAAACUUGUUCCAAUAUCUAACUACCUCAACUAUAACCAAACUCGUUCUGAUACCUAACUACCUCGAUGAUAAGUAACUUGUUACAACACCUAACUACUUCAUCUAUAACCAAUGUCAUUUCAACAUCUUACUACUUUAGUUAUAGCUAAACUUAUUUCAACACCCAACACAAGGAAUCAUAAACCUAAGGAUCUGUAAUAUCAAAUAAGAACACAACACAAGGGAACCAUAACUCAACAAUAGUGCGGCAAGGGCGGAAUAUAAUGAUGUCUUCUCUUUCUCACGUUUACUUCACAAUUUACUUCACAACUCGAGCCAAUGCUCUAGAGUUUCAAUUAUCACUUAUACUUUCACAAUUUGUUACACAACUGGAGCCAUCGCUCUUCAAUGUUCAUAAGCCACGAUUUUUUCCACAACUUUACACAACAAAUAGAAAUCUUCACUAAGGCAAGAAUAAUAGAACAAAAUCAUGAAAAUCAUAGUAUAAGACUCACGGUCAUGUUUGACACCAAUGCAUAGAUACUCGUCAUCAUGCCUAUAUGUCGUACUCAACAAGAAACAAAUAGCAAAUAUGACACAACUCCUAAUCCCUCAAGCUAAGGUUAGAACAAACACUUACCUCGAACUUCUACGCCCAACUUAAUCCUCAAAAAUCGCCUUUCCUUUCGAAUUUGGCUCCAAAUCAAUUGUAUCUAUACAUAAAUAACUUCAUAACAUCAAAUAAUGCUAAACAAUUCGAAUCCAAUGCCUAAUUAUAGCUUUCCAAUCAUUCUUCCCAAAAAUCCAAAGAUUGACCCCGGAUCCACUUGGUCAAAACAUGAGGUUCGGACCAAAAUCAAAUCCCCCAUUCACCCAAGAGUCCAAAUAUAUAAUUAUUUCCAGAAUUCGACCCCAAAACAAGGUUUAAAUCACCAUUAAUCGAAAAUUUCUAGUUCUACCCAAAUUCCUAAUUUUCUAUCCUUAAUUACAUGUUUUAGGCCUAGAAUUCUAGUGGGUGUUGAUGGAAAAUGAAGAAAACAAGUUAAAAAAUGCUCACCCAAGAAGCUUUGGUGAAUAAGUGCUUUAAAAAUCGCCUAGGAGAUUUGGAGAAGAAAAGGGUUUAAUGACCAGGUUAUAUGAAAUCCCGUUUUUUGUUAUGUUUUAAAAUCACUGGACAAGCAUUCAUCGCGUUCGCGAUAAGCCAGUUGCGUUCGCGAUGAAGCUAGCAUAAGUGACCUUUGUGUUUGCGAUAAAUGGCUCGAGUUCGCGGAGCAUCAACUCUCUCCUAGGAGCUUUGGAGAAGAAAGGUUUCAUGAAAAUUCUAUAAAAUCCUGUUUUUGGUUAUGUUUUAAAAUCACUGGAUAGGCCUUCAUCGCGUUCACGAUAGGCCUGCCACAUUCACGAUGAAGCUAGCUUAAGUGACCUUCGCCUUCGCGAUAAAUGGCUCGCGUUCGCGGAGCAUCAGCUCCCAGAGCCUUAGCGUUCGCGACCCUAUGAUCGCGUUUGCGUAGGUUUAAUACCCCUCCCCCUGUCCAGGCUCACAAGCCAUCACGUUCGCGUGUGCUGUGUCGCGUUCGCGAAGGGUAUCCCUCCUUUAGUCUCGCGUUUGUGGCUCCAGCUUCGCAUUCGCGAAUAAGAAGUUCCGCACCUGGAGAUUUGCCUUACGCAUUCGCGAGAGGGCGAACGCGAACGCGAAGAGCAAAACCCCUAGGCAUUGAACAGUAGAAACCUGCAAUUUUUUUAUAAGUUCAAAACCUCUCGAAACACAUCCGGAAUACUCCCGAGCCCUUGGGCUCCUAACCAAAUACAUGUACUAAUUCAACAACAUCAUAAGAACUUAUCAGUGCGAUUUAAAUUGCCUAAAUAACCUCAAUAACAAUGAAUCAAACCUCAAAAUCAAGAUCUUUUCCUCAAACUUCAUCAAGUUUCAAAUUUAGAAAUUCAAGUCUUAAUCACGUCAAACGACGUCUGUUUUCAACCAAAUUUAAUAGGAAGGACUAAAAUCAUAUAUAAGGCCUCUACCGGGUGCCGAAACUAAAAUACGGGCCCUAUACCAGUAUGCUCUAAUCAGUUUUCAUUUCUAAUUUCCUUAAACAAUUUCAGAAAAUAAUUUAACUUAAAAAUUUAUUUCUUGGGUUUGGGACCUCGAAAUUUGAUUCUCGGCAAAUGCUUAAGUCUCAUAUUUCCUAACGGAACCUCCGGGACUGUCAAAUCACGGGUCCGGGAAUGUUUGCCCAAAAUAUUGACCAAAGUUAAAUUUAUUUAUUUUAACAUCAAAACUUAGUAUUUUUUUAGUAAAUUUCAUAUUUAAGCUUUUCAACUACGCGUUCGGACUACGCAUGCAAAUCGAGGUAACUCUAAAUGAAGUUUUCAAGGCUCCUUGUUGAGACACAGAAUUCAAUUAAAAAUAGGUAAUGAGCCUUUGGGUCAUCACAAAUCUUCAUUCCUUCGUUCAAAACAUCAUCAGUAGUUAAGUUCUUUCACUCCUGAACCUGUUCCAUGAUUGGUUUAUCAUCAACCAUCUGAAACUUGAUCCAUUUUUUAAUGACAUACUUCUUUUUUCUGUUUUAUUAUCCUUUUCAAAUUUCUUCUUAGCAACAUCACUAGCAACAUCAGUAUUAGCAGCAUUAGAAGCUUACAAUUAUUUCCAUCUUCAGGCUCAAGCUUUGAGAGAUUAGGAAGUGUUUUGUUCAACAUGGUGGUCAUUAGUCAAUAUUAUAUGCGAACUCGCUUUCAAAUUGUAAGGAAAAUGAGUAGAUAAUAUUGACUAAGAACAAGAAGGAAAGAAGACUACAACUUAUCAAAAAUAUUAUGUCGUGGCAAGCCACUGCCUUGAAAGUGAUUUCAGCCCGACUGAAUACAAAUCGUUAAGGUCGGUCGCUCCCCAAGGUUCUACAGUACCUCCAAACAUGAGCACCCAUGGCUGGAAGUUUAGAAUUUGCUCAAAACAGUUACCGAGGAAGAAGAGAAGAUGAAGGUAUUUUAUGUAUUUGGAUAAUUCACAAAGAAGACUAGGAAGAAAGGGAUCAUUAGCUAGAUAAAUUCUUGGUUAAGAAUUGAAAGAUUAUGAUGGCUAAUUCAUAACGUAUAUAUAGGAAAUUAAGGAGGUUGCACAUACGACAAGAGUCGAGAGACUUUUGGCACUUGUCCCUUUAUGUUAGUCCACUUGACUCCAAUACUGACAAGUGUAUCUUGUCUUCGAUGCAUGAAGACAUAUGGUAGAUUUGCAUAGCCAUUUGUCAAUGCCAUUCAAUACUUGGCUUUAAGGUUUCAUGCAAGAGACCGCUUGGAAAUAGAAAACCAUUUGAAAAAUAAAUUAAAAACUCAUGACUAUUGGUUGUAAAUGGAAUUUCAAAAUGACUUUGCAUUAUGAAUAAUUCCAAUGGCUAUGAGAUUAAGCAUAAUAUUUUAAUGCCUAUUCAUAGCCAUAUAACAACAACAACAACAACAACUACCCAGUACAUUCUCACCAGGUGGGGUCUGGGGAGGGUAAUAUGUAG